CUGAUAUAACAAAUGACCGCAACAGAUACGAAAUUAAUCAGACCAUAACACAAAGCGAUUCUUAUGUAAGAUAGAAUACUUUCAUUAGAGGAAUACGACCCACAUGUUUAGGUUCAGGAUUCAAAUCUUCAACCACUAGCUGUGCCCUCUGAUCAAACUCAGGCUACAGCCACAAGUUCAGAAUCAUAACAACACAACAUAAAAGUUUACACUCAAACUUGGAGAUUCUCCACCUCAUAUUUCAUGAUUUCUUUGAAUAGGUCAUGACAAUAAAAAAGUUGCACAUCCCUCACUUAUAUAAGGGCAGCUAGAAGUAUAAAUCUGCAAGACAUCCAAUAAUAUCAUUUCCUUAGUAUACUUGGAUCAAUAUAGCAUGUCCUAUAUUCUGCUGUUGUACAAUCAUGCUAUUUCUAUAUUAGUUUGAAUUCUAAAACAUUCCUUGCAUAUUUCAUCACAUUAAAAAUUAUUUAAAGCACUUUCAGGUCUUUUCAAAAAAAAAUUUAAAGCACUUUUAGGGGUAUCAAUGCAUGCAUGUUCCUAACACUCACCAGUAAUACUUGAUACAAAAUCAAUUACAUGUAUUAGCUCAUAAGUGCAGUUAGAGCCAUGAUUAGAAAAACUCAUAUUGGUGGGGAGCUCAGGCUCACCCUGUUUUUAUCUAUCACAUAUUGAAAUUUCAGAAAAAAAGAAAAGCUCAUAUGAUAUUCCCUCUUCAGCUCUGUUCCUAUGCAUGUAAGUUGCCAAGCAACAAUUUGUGUACUAUUUUUUACAUUUGCAGACCAUUUGUCCAAAAAAUUGCAAUUGUAAUUGGUCAAAGUACACAAAAUUUAUGAUUCUUAAGACAAUUUUUUGAUCCAGAUGGGACAAUUGGUAAAAUUGUUGGAAAUCACCUCCUAAUAAUACUAUUUUCCCACCAAAAGUUCUGUCCAAAUUCUGAAAAUUAUCAACAUUCAUAAUGUUUUCAAGACUGCCUUCUGAUAAGCAAUUAUACUGUAUCUAGGUGGAGAAAUAUCACUUCAUUCAAGCCUUCCUAUCCCAAUCCUUAUAAAGUUCUUUAAGGAAUUCCUCCAUGAGCUUGUGCCUUUUCUUGGCCCUCCUUUGCCCAGCCUGAAAUUUCCAGCAAUUUUCAAACACAAUAGCAGAAGGGGCGCUAAGAAUUCUUGUGAUAUGAACAUAUACGAAUAUCUAAAGUAAUAUCAUGCACCCUAUUAUUGUUAUGGCUAAACGGAUUUGUCUUACACAUCUGAUACCUUAGUUUUCAUCAAAUCCUUUAACUUGAGAAGCUUCUCAUGAUCUGCUCCUCUUUCUUCAUGUACCAUUCCUUGGAUAAGUCUGAUCGUGGCUGGAUGGCAGGAUCAUGAAGAACUCUGUUUCUGUUUCCACCAAAACUAAAACAGUGAGCAAUUCCUGAAAUCAAAGAUUUCGAGUUCAGCACAAGAAUACUGUGUGUUAAAUAAACCACACUACAGAUAAAAAAGAAAUGUAGUUGAUGGCAUAAUUAAUUCUCAAGUCAGCCAAGAACACACCGUUAAACUAUUUUAAGUUUGAGCUUAUAACAUUUGUAUCAGAUAAUGAAUGAGGUAUUUUCCAUCAGCAGGUAAUAUAUAAACUGAAUAAAAUGAGGUGAAUGCCAAAUUAAAGAGCACAAAAAUUACCUAUAGCACCAAUUGCAUCAAGAUGAUCAGCAUCUAGCACAAUCCCAAAUUCAGGGGAAAAUUCAUGGUUUCUGAGCCCUGAAAGUUCAUCUUUAAAACCUGAAAACAUCUGUCAUAGUUAUAUUUUAAAUAUGAAGCAAGGAGUGCAUAAGAAAAGGGUACUUAGAAUACUCAUGAAGAGUUACAUGAAGAAGCCUGUUUAACAUUCAACGAUUGCAUAAGAUAAAAUUGCAAACAUGGCUCCGGAGAUUCAUUGCCCCUCAUCAAUACUUGCAUCAUCAACUAAGUCUUUGUCAAUUUUGUCUCUUUCUAAUGUAAAUAACAAUUCACUUGAUCUGAUUGACCACAAUAUAAGGAGUGUGGAACAAACAAAAAUUAGAAACAGAUCAAAUAGAAGAAUUUCUACUUUAAAUGAUACCAGUAAUCUAGUAGAAUUCAAAGGAAAGUUAUGUGUCGAUCAUAAAAAGAAUCUUUUAAUUUGGAUUGACAGCUUUGACUAGUUUUAAGUCAGUUAGCUAUGACAGUUACGCCUAUCAAAGUAGCUAAAAAAUUACUGAAAUAAGUUCAAGUUCAAGAAAAGAAUCUGUUGACAAAACCCUAAAACCUGCACAAAAAAUACCCAUAUCGAAAUCUCUACAUGAAAAACUCAGGAAAAAAAAGCAAAUAAACCCAAUGCAAAAUACCCAAAACAAACCGAGAAACGCCCAAGCACAACAUGCUUAAGGAACAAAAAUGGAAACAGAGAUAUUCUGUAUUGAAAUGAGAGGUAAAGGAAAAGACUAAAAAGGAACCUGAAGAAGAGCAAUAGCAUAGUUGAUGUAGUUUCCAAUAGCGCCUUUGGAAUUGAUUCGGAUCUCAUUCUCGUUAAUGGGUGGUUCUGGCUUUGACUUCUCUACUUUCUGUUAUCUAUCCAUUGGCUGUUUGUUGGAGGAGAUAGAGGGGAAGGGGAGGGGAAGAAGACCCUGAUUUAACACUAGCAGAAGAGCGAAACAGCAAAGGGAAAGAGAGAGGGUAAAGGCUUUAAAACAAAACAAAACCGUAGGCUGUUGACGAGCCCUUUUCUCCCGGCCUUACGCCUUGCCAAUUUUUUUCUACUCGGAUUCUUAUUGCGGUUUGAGCUUCCUCUGGUAACAAAAGAAUGGGGAAAUAUGAAAGGAGGGUUGAAGAGUGUAUUUGGUAGGAACAUUUGUGGGUUCAUUUGGCGCGUAUUCGAAGACAGAGUCACCCAUUUAAUAAAUACUGAAAUGAGAAAGUGAAAGAGCGAGUGAGAAAAAACGAAGGAAGAAUUUAUAAGACCUAUAUUUGACCCUUCCAUUUAUAGCGGUUUUUUUUUUAAAAAUUUUUUUUGCUGUAAAAUCCAUAUCUGAUUCUUCCUUGCCUUUUCUUUUCUCUCCUUUUCCCCAAAUACCCAAAAUCCCAAAAACUCUUAUAAAUUCUUCUUUUCUUUUUUCUCUUACUCACUCUCUCCUUGUCUCAUUAUUGUUAGUAAUAUGCUUGUAUCCUUGAUCUUAAAGUCAAAAUGGGUUCUCAAGACUCGAAGGAAUACGAAAUGGCAGUGACUCUCCCUUCAAAUACGCCAGUGGAGGGAUGCGAAAUCAACCCAGACGUUCGUGUCAAACACAGAGCAUUUCCUACUCUUCAACCUCUUCCUCCAUAUUCCGUCACUUUCAGCUGGUUCUAUCUCUUUUCUCGUUUCUUUCCUAUCUUUAUAUUAAUUUCUUUGUGGUGUUUGGUUUCUUGGCUUUGAAAAUAGAAUACAAGCAGGGUUUUAGUUUUGGCUUUCUUUUUCAAAUUGGUAUCUCCGAAUGAGUCACUUACUGAGAAGUUUUGUUAGAUAAGGAAGAAACAUAAGAGGAAUCGAAAUAUAAGUUGCAUGAGUUUUUGUUGAUCUUGAUUUUUUUUCUUUUAAUGGAUCAUUUAUUAUGAAAAGAAACUUCAAUUUCCGGUGUGAGGGCCUUGUUCCCUAAAAGUAGUUGUAGGCAUCUGGUCAUGUAUUACAAAUUUGUCAUCAUACAUAUGUGACAAAAAGUUGGUUGAGUCUUCUAAUCUUGUUUGACUUAGGUUAUUUCUCAAAGGCUUAGGUUAGGUGGAUUGAUUUUUAUGGUUUUCCAAUCAUUUGUUUACCAAACUGUUAAAAGUAAUCAGAUUCUCUCUUCUUCACAUAUGGGGCAAGAGCUUUAUUAAAAAGAGUAAGAAAAUUGUGUUUUCAAGUUUCCUGUUGUUUUGGAACAAAAUUCCCUAUUGACAAUUUGACAUGCAUCCCCAAAUGUCUAAACAACCCAAAAAAAAAAAAAAUUUCUAUCAUCAAUGUUUUAAAAUUCUUGUACGAGAAGAGGAUGUGUUUUUGGAUUGUAAGGAAUAUUGAUUUGUUUCACAUUCCACCAUCAUAUGACAUUGAAGUGGAGAUGGUUUCUAAAUUCUAGGUAUCGUGAGGUGGUUUGCUCUGUGCACCCUUCUAAGUUGGCUACUGUUCAGUGUAUGUCCUGUGUAAAGCUAGAGGUUCCAGUGGAUCAGAGUUAUCAUUGCUCUUCACAGUGCUUCUUAGAUGCAUGGCAAAUGCAUGUGAAGCUUCAUAGUCAUGCAGUUAAAACGGAAAAGCAGACUGCAACUGGUGGUCAACAAGAAUUAAGAAUGCUUAGGAGUUGUGGCUCAUGGCCAGACUUCAGUGCCGACCAAUUGUUUGGUGAAAAUACACUGGUGGUAGAGCGAGAAGGGAAAGUAUGGAUCAAGGUGGGCUCUUCUAAAACUUAUAAACCGUCUAAAGAAGAUGUUGGCUUCACUCUUAGGCUGGAAUGUGUGGCUGUGGACUAUUCUGAGGGCACUCAGUUGGCUCCUAUCAAUAUCAUAGUGACUGAUCCUGUGAUUACUUUCCCUCCUCGUUGUCCUCGCUGUAUGAUUGAAGUUGGAAGUUAUAUGAAAUCUCAUAACAUCCAUUUCAAAUCCCAGACUUCUGAUGGUUUAACAUUUAGUGUGCUAUCAUAUAAUAUCCUUGCUGACAUGUACACUGGUAUGGGUAAGUACAGUUACUGUCCAAGUUGGGCUGUUGUUUGGGAAUACCGCAAGCAAAAUUUGCUGCCAGAGAUCAUUGGAUAUGAUGCUGAUAUUAUUUGUCUUCAGGAGGUGAAUUUCAUUUUUACUAUUUUGCAUCUUUUGAAAGAAUAUGCUUUUUGAACAUGUAUGCCUUACGUCAUUUAACUUUUUAAGAUUGUCUAAUAUGCCACUUGGUAGGUGCAAAGUGAUCAUUUUGAAGGUUACCUUCAACCUGAGCUGAUGAAAUGUGGUUAUUCUGUUAUGUACAAGAGGAAAAGAACAGAGGUAAAGUUUUUGAAACUCUGAAUUUUUUUUUCUGAUAAUGAUGCUCUGUUAGGAAACAUUUUUAAGCUCUCAUGAAAAGGAACAGGGUUGAAGUAGGAAUAUCAUAUAAGCUUUUCUAAUCAUGGCUUUAACUGUACUUAUGAACUAAUACAUGAAUUUUAUUUUUUUAUCAAGUGUUACUGGUGAGUGUUACGAACAUGCAUGCAUUGAUAUCCCUAAAAGUGCUUUAAAUAUAUUCAAUGUGAUGAAUUAUACAAACAAUGUUUCAGAAUUCAAACUAAUCUAGAAAUAGCAUGAUUAUACAAUAGCACAAUAUAAGACAUUUGAUCCAAGUAUACUAAGAAAAUGAUAUUAUUGGAUGUCUUGCAGUUAUAUACUUCUAGCCGCCAUUAUAUAAGUGAGGGAUGUGCAACUUUUUAUCGCCAUGACCUAUUCAAAGAAAUCAUGAAAUAUGAGGUGAAGAAUCUCUAAGUUGAUUGAACAAACUUUCAUGUUGUGUAGUUAUGAUUCUGAACUUGUGGAUGUAGCUUGAGUUUGAUCAGAGGGCACAGUUAGUGGUUGAAGAUUUGAAACCUGAACUCAAACAUGUGGGUCGUAUUCGCCUAAUGAAGGUAUUAUAUCUUACAUAAGAAUCACUUUGCAUUAUGGUCUGAUUGAUUUUGUUUCUGCUGCAGUCAUUUGUUAUAUCAGCUCCUCUUUUUCUUCUAAAUCUUUAUUCUUGUUUUUCAGGACAAUGUUGCACUUAUUGUCAUAUUGGAAGCAAUAAGAGAUGGCAGCAUGAAUGAUGAUUUUCAGUUUAGAAUUUGUGUGGUACUGUAUGUAUUUGAUGUAUUCCAGCUUUAAAUCUCUUAAUCUGGACAAGCUCAAAAGUCAUGAUUUCAACCUCAGGCAAAUACCCAUACACAUGCAAACACUGAACUGCCAGACGUAAAAUUAUACCAGGUUUUUAAUAUAAUUUUUUUUCAAAUAUCUGCAUUUCAUUUGUUCUUCAAAAAAGCAGGAUAUAUCUUUUUAAUAAUAACUCCCACCCUUUCUCCAUCAUCAAGGUUGCAAACCUUGUCCGUGGACUGGAGAAAAUUGCCCAAUCAAAAAUUCCUCUAUUGAUUUGUGGAGAUUUGAACUCUCCUCCUGAAAGGUUAGUCUGCUGCUGCAGUGACAUAGUGGUUUUUUUUUUUCAAAGGAUCACUAGUGGUUUUAAGUUCCCAUUCAUUUCUUUUCUCAUUGAAUUUAAACUAAAGUGAAAAUGUUAUCAUAUAAAGGAAAUGUAAGAUAAACUUGCUUAUUACUAAAAUUUGCUUCAAAAUAGCUGAGUGAAGGAACUGCUGCUUUUUUCUUCUUCUGGUUGUUUCCUUUUUAAUCUUGCUGCCGCCCUUUUAUUUUGCAUCUUUAUGUACAUGAUUUUGUGAAAAAUGAUAAAUAAGUUCUGUAUGGGUCUUUCCCAAGCUUUAUGGGAAAAGCGCUACUUUUUGUAUUUUAUAAAAUUUUCAUAUUCUGAAUUUGUUUAUACAUAUAGAUAUAAAUGCAAAGGUCAAUGUCUAAUUCAUGAUUAAAUGCCACAGUGAUCCUCAUAUGCUUCUCGUUAGAGGCAGAAUCAAUUCUGUUUCUGGGGAGAGAACUGAUCCAUUGGGUAUAUAUCAGAUUCUCAAGCUUGAACACUCAUUAGCUCUGGUAAGAAUAUUUUUUAUAUUCAGAGAAACCUAUAUUUGGCUCAUAUUUCUGACAUAAUCGCAGCCAUAUAUGCUUAGAUCUCACUUAUUUGAGGUAUCUAGUAUUUUGUUUCCCACCCCCUUGCAAGCAUGCUAUAGGAAAAUUUAGAAUUUACCUCUCAGAUGUUAUUGGAAAGCAAAUGAUUAUAUACAUUUUCCGAUGCUUUCUAUAUUCUUAAUUUUUGAGCUCUUAUAGUUGCCAAACAAGUUUAAGGCAUGAUUCAUUUGUAUGGCCUUCCACAAACCUUAUGGGCUCCUUGUCUGACCAGUUUAGAUCUGGUCCCUGGAAUAUAAUUAAUUUGUAUGAGUACUGUUUUUAUUUUCUAAUUGAUAUAAAUUGGUGAUGUAGUAUUGUGCUCUAUCCAUUUGUGAUUGGAAGUAGAAGAGCCCCUUUCUUCUGUAUUUACUUUUUGUUGGUGUCACUGCUGUUGUCCUCAUGAUGAAUUAUCAUUUUCACUCUCAUUGAACUUACAUGCUCAUGCAGGAAAAGUUGUUUUGCAGGUUAGUGCAUAUGCAUCAUUUUUCCAUUUGAGGGGGAUUGAUGAAAAACAGUUCAAUAGGAUGAACCUUGAGAACCAUGAGCCUUUAUUUACCUACUUCACUUCGGGAUUUGCUGGAACCUUAGACUAUAUUCUCUACACAGGUAUACUGUGCCCUAUAAUUUGAGUUACCUUUGAUCAAUUGGUUGACCUUGCAAAGUUUUUUCCAAUUCAUAACUCACUUUCCUUUGACCGUUGGGUUCUUUACUAUUAAAGUUUGCAAUGCCAAAAUCUGCUCUUAUUAUCUUUGCUUAAUUGACAGGGUCAUUUAACGUUGGUUAGAUGAUAUUCUCUUAAAAUUUUACAGUUGUGAAUGUUUAUUCGUCAGCUUAAAAUGCAUUAUUAUGUGGCUCUUAAAUAACAUUUUCAGGAAAAACAAAUCUACUAGUAUUAGUUGUUAUAUAGUAAGAUAACAUCAAGUGUAGUUACAUGUUCAGCAGCACUUACCAAGUUAUCCUGUGAUUAAGAUGCACCAAUCACAUUGAGCCUUGUGAAUAGAUGUUGUGAUGUGCCAGUUAUUAUUUGGUUACUGGGGUAAAGGGAGAGUUUCUUUGCUAAAAAUGCGUUACAAAGUUAAAGAAGUAGCAAUUCUUAAUUUGGUGCCCUGGGAAACUGGGUAGAUGCACUCACCUGAGAAAUGGGGAAAGGAUGCUGUUGAGCAGGACUUUUUAAGUAGGUAGUUGUUAUAAGCAACUCUUAAUACAUAUGAUUUAAUUGAAGAAUAACUCAAUCAUGAAGGAGAUUUCAUGUAAAAAUCUUUGACCUGGCAUGGUCACUUAUGUUUUUGGUUUUUCUUUUAUUGAAAAUUAAUGCUCUUUCAUUCAUGUAUGAAAGAACAAAUGCUGAGGUAAGACCUUGGCCUUUGUUUUAGGCACUAGGCUUCCCCCAGCAUACAUUCAUCAAUGACUUUACAAUCUGAAGCACACGGACACACAGUCAGGAGCACUCCCACAGAACCCUUGUAUAGGCAUUUACAAAAACCAAAAACUCCUACCCAGACCCUCGGUAUAACAAAAACAAACAACUGCAAGGCCUUCAGUACAAAGUACCCCUGCACUAUAUCUAGUGCAGAUGACAAAUAAAAAACAUAUAACUGACUCUACAUUUUCCCUGCCACGAUUCUUUUUGUUUUAAAGUGAGAUCAUGUCCACCAUAAGUCUGCUCUGCAGGACCCAAACACCAAGGAUAUUUGUAGAUUGAAUAACAGCACCAAGGAUAUGUUUUUGGUUAGAUGAGCAAAAACUUUUUAAUCUCUUCAGAUUCACUCAUUCUAUAUGGUAUUGAUGGUUGCUUUUUUGUAAGCAUUUAGUUUCUUUUUAGACAGGAAAUUUUUAGUUUCAUCAUACAUGCUUUUUUUUUUCACAAUAAAAAAAACUCAUUGUUAUCUGGAUUUGCUGGGCAAAAAUUUGGUUUCGGCACAUCCAUGACCUUUUUAAAUUUUUAUAAAUUCGAAUCCUACAAAACAAAUUGGGACUUCAUGUUGGAAAUUUUGCCACAGUUACCUCUUUCUUGGUCUCUGUUUCUUAUAUGUCAGUUGGGGAUCAUUAUCCUAUGCAUUAAUUAAGAUUUUGUAAACAGGAAUAGCCUUGUUGGAUAACCUUAAUACUUGUGAAUUUUUAUGUUCUGAUACGUUUAAAAUAGUCCAACCAGUUGUGUUAUUACUGGGUCGCUGGAAUACUUUUGGAUACAGCACGAAAGAGAGGUAUCCUAGUUGAUUGUAGAUUAUAUAGUACUUAAGACGAGUUCUUUUCAUCUUCCUGAGCAGAGUGAUAAAGCCUUUUAAGGGUGAAUUUUGCUAACAAUCUCUUAUGAAUGUAACUUCAUUAACAUAUACAAAGCAGCUAGGAGGAUCUUAAAUUGAAUUGAGCAACAAUUAGACACCUCCAAACAAAUUGUUCCUUCAAAUCUGAGCAGAAUUAUAUCAUUUCCACGUGCCAUCAAAAACCCUUGCACUUAACUUUUGUCAUCCUAGAAAGUGACCUCUGUCCCCUUGAGAAUGACCAGUCUGUUUUGUGAAUUAGGAGAGACCCUUUGAGCAUGAUGGUUGGCUAUUCGGUGAUGUUGGAGACACAUAAUUAGAAAAAUAUGCCAACUUCUCCAGUCUCUUAAUUGUGACCUUGAUCCCUCCAUCCCCUCCUUUUCCUGUUGUGGGAAAAAUAUUCUCAAACUUUAAGUUUCUUAACCUUCUUUCUAAGUUCAUAUUCAAUAUAUGUAGAUGGAGGAUCUGGUUAUAUUCAGUUCUAGUUGUUUGUUUAAGCUUUGCAGCGCAAUCACUGGCAUUGUCAUAAUUUUUUUAGUUAUUUGGCUAUUGGUUUUAUAUUUAAGUACCUUUCUCUGACUAAAUAGAUGUUUUUCAACAGCGGACAGUUUGAGGGUUGAAGGUUUAUUGGAGCUUCUCGAUUUUGAAAGUAUGGGUGUUGGUCUUCCAUCACCCCUAUGGUCAUCAGACCACAUUGCCCUGAUGGCCAGUUUCAGACUCAAACCGCAUUCUACCUCUGAAUCAUGGCCGGCUCUUCCUCAGGAGAUCUGAUAGCAACUAGAGACAUGGUAGUAAUUACAUCUGUAUGAAAAAUAUUAGAAGAAACAUAAUUAUAGAAUCAAUCUCAAAUCACAGUAGCAGGCAAUGUUGUUUACAAGAUACUUUCUGGUAGUUUUGCUACCUAAUUUCGUAACCCUGUAACUAAUGCUGAUGAUUACCUUUGAACUUCUUUUUCCUUUAUCUCUGCCAUGUGUGUGAUUUGUCAGCAUUCUAUACCAGUCUCAAUUCAUCAUUUCUUGUGUGAAGGUAUUUGGAACUAUUUUCUCACCUGGCCAAUCUCUGUUGUAGUUGUAUUUAUUACUAGAAAAAUUAUUAGGGGUUUCUUUACAACUGAAAACUCUCAAGUUGGGAACAGGAGAAUUAAAAAUUUUAUUUAGCUUGAUUAUCCUGUACUUAAAUUCAUAUCUACACCCACUACAGCCAUUCAUCCUACAAGUUAUAGUAGGUGCACCUAUUUCUGAUCAAUCUUCAUAAACCAUUCAGGCUACUCGUCAUCCGGUUAUUAGGUUAAUUUUGAAUUUAACUCCUAUUUCCGUUGCCUUUUCUGUCAUCUGGAUGAUCAGAGACUGUUUUACGAUGUAAAAGGAAAACGUUGGGAUAAACAAAGUGCUGAUUAUAGAGUGAAAGACAGGUAAAGGAAAUUGAGGUUUCGGUCUGCGUUUUAGCUUUAUUAUUGAAACAGGCAAACCAUCAGAGGCAAGAGGGUGCUUUUAAGGGAUAGCUAUGCAUAUACAGAAGAGAGCCAGUUAGAUAUCAAUUGCAAAUUGAAUGGGUAGAAUUCAGUGAGCCACCAUUUUCUUACACACCAUAGUGGCCGAUUGCUUAAACAAAAUUAGAAAUUUAAAGCAUUACCAUAUCUACAUUAUACAAGUCAGUACAUUCUGUAAGUCAGUUUCUUCUCUCACUCUCUCUCGGUCGAAUUUUUUUCAAAUAAUGGAGAUUAAGGAGCUUAUAUAUAUAUAUAUAUAUAUAUAUAUAUAUAUAUAUAUAUAUANCUAGUAUAUAUAUAUAUAUAUAUAUAUAUAUAUAUAUAUAUAUAUAUGUAUGUAUAUAUAAAUAUAUCAGCUAAAACCUCUAGACAAUACUAUUUAGCUUUUCAAGAUGCAGAAAUACAAAUUUAACGCACGUUGGUUGGAGAUGAUAUGCUAUCCUGAACUUAAAACUUGAUGAUCUUUGAUCCUUACUAGCUAGCACAAGAGACUAAGCCUUUGCUUGAAUAGUUUUGGAGGGCCCUGGUCUGGUGGGUGCAUGAAUUUGCAGUUAGGGCAUGCAGGUGCUGACUUGCAUAGCAUCACCAACAUGUGGCACCGCAUGCACACCGUGGCUACCAUCUCUUGCUGUUUCUGAUCAUCCUCCUCGACUGCCAACCAUGAAAGGCUCUGCGUCGUUAAUCCUCCUGUUGAGUUGAUCUUCUUAUCAACUGAAUCGCUCCUGGGGCUAACAGAGUUGUGCUUGUCGAAUUGGUGAUGAUCUGUUGCAUUAGUUUUUCUUACUGAAUCGCAUGGUAGGUUUAGCUCAAGGUCUAAGCUCAUGUGACGGGGGCUUGGGGGCUCAGGGCUUCUCCUCGGAUCCUUACAAGUUCUCGUAUGGGUCCUUGUAUUGUAAAAGUGUAUCUGCCCUGACUGAACACAGAGGAAACCAAAACAAUACAAAAUAAGGUUAUACUAAUGGUUAUGUAACAGUAUUUCUACUCCUGAAGCAUAUAUACUUCAUCAGAGAUUCUGGUUAGAUAUCUUGGAAUGUGAAUAUAUAGAAAGUACCUGAAUAUCAAGACAUCUUUGCCACUCCAAAGGCAAUGGAGUCUCGAGGUGGAGCUCCAUAUCAAACACUGAUUUUGUGCUUGCUGCUUUUGAUCGCUUCUCGAAAGUUUCUUCAUCACCUUGUGGCUCAUCCAGCUUUCUCUUCUUUGAUGAAUUUUCUAACUGAUCCGGGGUUGUCUUUCUCAUGUCCGGGGAGAGAGGGGCUUGAAUGGAAACCAUAGAAUUCACUCCAAAAGCUUUCCGCUCUCUCUUAGUUUCUAUUUCUAUCUUUUGAGAGAGAGAGAGAGAGAGUCAUCAGAUGUGAAAUGCAUAGGUGGUUAUAUAGGCAUGAAUUUGGGGGGUGUAAGGGCUGGCAAGGCAUAUAACUGCAAGGAAGAAUCUAAUAGGGCAAGUUUUUGAACGUAGAAAAACCAAAGAGGGCCUACCUGUGCAUGACGUGCAUUCCAAGUUGGCUCUCCAAUUACUAAACACAGCUCCAAGCUGCUGCUGCUAUAUAUUCAAAGCUAAGAUGUGAAGUUCUAACUUCUAACCAACCUCUCUCUUUGGUCAAUUAUAUAUGCUUGUACACCUGGCUCCCAAAACCCCUACAAAUACACAUAAAACUUAACUGCUUACGUGACAUUACAUAAUCCUGCUGUGCAUUUUCAAGCCAUGACACUGAAUCAGAGUCAGUACUAAUCAACUCAACUGAGCCAAGCCAAAAAGCCAAAAGCCACACUUAGCCAAAAAUAUUUUUGGUACUUAUGAAAGGCGGUGAGAGGGGGAAAGAGGGGGAGGUGUGGAAGGAAGGGGGUCAUUAAAUGUGGAGAGUCUGUAUACAGUUGAAGGGGGAAGGUCUUGAAUGCCAAUGUAUCUUUAAUAACAUAAUAACUCCCACUUCCACAAUUGGGUCACUCAGAGAACUAAAACUUUUAAAGCUUUCAACACCCCCCCUCGGCUAUUAAACAAAUGCUUUAUCUCAUGACCUAUAUGAAUUAAUCACUCCAAGAACUAAAGCUUUUAAAGCUCUCAACACCCUCAGCUCUAUAUAUGAAAAAGCACAACUAAUAUCUCAUGAGCUCCAAUUUAUUGUCUUCCCCCACACUUUCUUUUCCUUUCAUUUUUUUUAGCUCCUUCUUGAAAGCACCACACCAAUCAAACUGCAUUCCAUGUCCCAAACUUCCAAUUUCCUCCCGGAAACUCUCUCCUUAUCUUCUUGUACCAGCAAACCAACCUCUUGGGUUCGUUUCCGUACGAGUCAUCACUCGAACAACGUACCACAACAUCCUCAACGAUUUAUAUUUUCUAAGUUCGCCUUUCAUACAAAGGAAGGGUAACCCUUGUCUUUCCUUGAUGCCAAAUAGUCUUUAAUUACAACCAAAACGAAAUUAUAAUGGAGUAACUUUCAAAUUUUGAUAAAUUUAAAGUUAUAUAUAAGCUUGUACCACUAAUAUAUACGUAACUGUCAUUAUGUAUGAAUAUAUCACAUUGCAUGCAUCUCGAACUCGCCCGUGAUAUGGGGGAAUACCUUUCCACUGGAAAAAGGCAGAGUUGAAGCAGAAAAAGAAAAGAAAGGUAAUGGUAAGUUUCUUUGUAAGAGAAAAGAUCUAGCAUGUGCAUGGGGCGUUACACGUUAACUGAUGUCCUUAGCCAAAUUUCACCAACCAAAUAUAAAUUGGUGAGGGACCCUAAAUAGACCAGACAGCAGAUGACAUAAAUACCAACCCAUUUCAUUACUAGUAGUCAAAAGAGUAGAGAACAUUUAACGUCCUUCUUUCCCAAACUAAGGGUAUUUUUGUAAAGCGAGCCUCCAAUUUGGAAAUUAAAGUUUGUAGAAAACUAAGGGGAAAAAAAAUUUAAUCUUCGCCAACAAGAAACAAAAAAAAAAAAAAAAAAGAAAAAGGGUCCAAAGCCAUUAAAGGCAUUGAGAGAGAGAGAGAGGUUCCAAGUAAGUCUACCUGCCUUCAUUAACUCCCAUCUUGAAUUCACUUAAAUGCAGAAUUCAAGGAUGACCAUUGAAAACACCUCGCUUUCUUCAACAUCUUUCAUCGUCGCUCUCACCACCGGUUUCCCUUCUGUUUAAUGCUCUCAACCCACCUCUUCUUCCCUUCAUUUAUGCUUUUGUUCCGCUACUUCAAGUCUUUCCAGCCUCUCUCUUUCUCAGCGUUAAUUUCACGGUUUUAAAUCACUUCCCACUUAUGAGAAUAACUGUCAGAAUCUACUCUUCUCACUAAUAAAUUACGUGUGAAUCAUUUUGCUCCCCUAGAAAGGAUUUCAAUCCCAUUGUCACUUAGUUACAGUCGGUACCAGCAAUCUUAAGUCCACAAAUUUAAUGAAAAUUAAUUGUGGUUUGGACUGGCAGUUGGGAUUGGCCGGCCACACCUAUUUGCAAAGCACUAGCUGAACCAAUUUGAGUGCCGCUAUAUUUAUGUGUGUAUAUAUAUAUAUAUAUAUAUCUCCACAACUUCUGGCCCAAAAGGAUACGUCAAUUCCCUACAUUUUCCUCAUAAUUGGCACUCGCAUCAUAUAGCCCUAGCUAGGCUACUUGUUGAAGUUUAUUUUUCCAAGAAAAAUAUGCAUUUUAAUUAUUUGAUAGAGUAUAAUUUUUAUCACACGUUAUAUUAAAAUCAAUUAUUGAUUUGGAUGUAUAAAUAUUUUUAUAGAAGCAAACUUGAUUUUAGCUAUAUUCCACAACUAUGACCAAUACGAUUUUUAAUUUCUAUGUAUAUUCCCCCCCUUUUGGCAUCAUUGAUAGAGUGAUUGUUGAUGGGGAAACUUAAUUUUUUUUGGUUGAACAGUUUUAAUAUUAAUAGUUAGUCGUGUCAAUAACUUACACACAUAGUUUUUAUUGUAUUUUAUUAUAAUCAAACAUCUUGGUCAAAUUAAAAACUAAACCUUCAUUUUAAAAGAAACCUUUAAAAGGAAAAAAUUUAGGUCUUAAUAUAAUUAAACGUAGAUUAAAAACAUCAUUGGAUAUAAUGGUGGAUUUUGAUAGAACAAUUUCAAUAAACUAAUCCCAAUUGAGAUGAUAUAAAGAGAGAAAAAAAAACAUAAAUGAGAUAUAAACAUCAAUCAAAAAUGUUCCCAUUGCAAGUUGAAUUAUUGUAUGCUAUGUCACUUACGAUGUAUACUGAAGUAUAGCAGUGGCUCGGUGUCAAACAGAAUGUAACAAAUGUGAGCUGAAUAUAUAUAAGCUACAUAGCUCAGGUGUAAAUCUGCUUGUGUGAAGCAAUAACGAAGGAUGGCCUUCACUGUAAUCGUCAUAAUUCCAUUAAAAAACAAAAAAAAAAUUGUAAAAUAAGAGCAUUGAAAAUUGAUGUGCAUAUCCAUCUAAAAUAGGAGCAUUAAUGGUAUAUGGCCGUAUAGGUUCGCCUUGGAUAAAUUGCUAUAGGAGAGAAAUAGAAAAUUUGUACCCUUAUAAUCUCCAAUAAAGGAACACAAUUCUAUAAAAGAGGUUAUUAAUGCAGUUGGGUAUGGCUUACUAGCUACUAGUCACUUGUAUUAAUUAUAAUAAAAUAAUGAUAGACAGUGAUGUUCAUUUUCGCUUCUCUAAUUAAUAAUUAUGUAUUUAUUCGCACAUAUACAUCUUAAAUUGAACGUAACAGUUAGAGUUGCGAACUUCCAUUGUAUGAAAAAGGGAUUACUUGGAAUUGAAACUGAAAAUUGAUGAAGUCUAGCAGUUUUUUCAUUAUUCAAUAAUGAAACGUGCAAAUGGGUGGACCUUGGUACUUGGAUUAAGUUAGCUUAUGAAAUGGUUAAAGGUGGGGUGGAAUUAUGUUGAGGAUUCUAGUGGUCUAAGCUUUGAUACUCUAUUAUUAUUAUUAUUAUUAUUAUUAUUAUUAUUGUUAUUAUUAUUAUUAUACAUUCAAAUCAUGACAUGUCAUUAAUAAAAAAUUAUUUUGAAAGAAAUUAAAGGUUGAUAUUAAAACUUAAUGUCAUUUUGAGACCUUAUUAACAUUUUAUUUCCUUCAAAAUAAUAUCUCAUUAAUAAAGUGUUAAGAUUUGAUAAUUUGACUGUGUAUAGAAACUACACUAUUAAUACAUCAAAUAUUAAUCACAUAUAUAUAUAUACACGCACAUUACAUAAUUUUUUUUUUAAAAAAAAGUGAUUUUGUUAACGGUAAGCCUCCAUGCCAUUCAAAGUCUUUAUUCAAUUAAUGGAGACUUCUAUUGACAUUAGGCUUGUGCAAGAGAGUUGAACCAGUACUAGACGAUUAACCCCUGAUAAUAACGUAUACCCACGAAACGACCCCAUACAAACCCGGAGGCAUAAACCAAAAGCCCUCUUGGAUUAUAAUUGUCAAGGUCCUCAUAAACAUUCCAUAUUAAAUCACCCUGUCCGCCUAUUCCCAUUUUGACUAAGUUGUCUGCAACCUCAUUAGCAUGUCAGGGAAUUUUCCUUAAGCUCUAGCAAGCAAUCUUAGAUUUCAAUUCCUCAAUUCUCAUUAAGGUCCUUCUAAGCUUCCAAGGAGCCUUAUGAGGGUUAGGGGCCCAUGACAACAUUCUGAGAGUCACUCCUAAAAAUAAAGUUGUGAGAGUCAGGCCACCUUGAGGCCGCGGCGCUACGAUCUGGAAGCCUUUCCAAAUAGCCAACAGCUCCGCUGUAUUGGAAUCAGUAACUCCCAUAGGUAAAGAGAAGAUAAGAGGGAUACUACCUUUGCCAUGCCUCAGGACACCUCCGUUUCCAACCUCACCUUGACAUCCAUUAACUGCAACGUCGAGAUUCAACUUAAGAAAACCAAGAGAAGGGACCACCCAUGAAACCAUUUUCAUCCCCGGUUGAGUUCUUUGAGGGGGAAGACCUUCAUUAGGAUACCUUAUAAUAUCCAACAAGGAAGGGUUAAGGUUCGGCCACUUCGUCUUAACCCACCAUGCCAGCCUCAAUUUAAUUAAGUUAAAAACAUUAAGUUCACUCCAUUCUUUCCUUUCGAAAACCACUUCAUUACGAGUUAGCCAAUUUGACCAUGAAAUGAUGUAAAAAGCCAUUCUCAUCACCUUCCCAUUCUCCAAGCUUCUACUCAUAUCAAACCAGGAUUGAAAACACAUAACGGAGUCAAUAUGCUGAACCCACUUGACAUUCCAGUAAUCACCACACCAAUGCCACAGUUUUCAACGCUCAACAUAAGAGAAAAAUAAAUGCCGAAUAGUUUCAAUACUUGUUUUACAAAAAAGACAGAAUGUAGCAUCAUGUCGAACGAUGCCUCUGUUAGAUAACUCUUGUCUCACAAGUAACCGCCCUUUUAACAUCAGCCAGCCAAAUGCUUCGACCUUGAGGAGCUAACCUUUCUCAAAUUUGGCUCCACAAAUCAGAAUUAAUAUGGUUCUGCAGCACGACAGCUCGGCAAAAAGAUUUUGUGCUAUAGUCGCCACUAGUUGUGUGCUAUAGUUGCCCGGUAAAUUGCUUUAACAAAAUUUAAAUUUAAACUAUAUAAAAACUCUUUAAUUCCAUUCAAUUAUUAUCUUUGUUUUUGUUUUUUUCUUUUACUUGCAAGAAGGAUGAUAUUAAAUUAAAAAAUAUAGAACUUUCACGCAAUUAUUUAAGGUUUUAAUUAAUAUAAGUUAGUCCAUUAAAAAAAUAAAACAAUUAUUUACCUCAUUACCCGUAAUUUCAACUUAUUAGUCAAUCAAAUUUCAAUUAAAACCGCUUUUUUCACUCAAUAAAUAAUAUAGUUUAAUUACAUAUAUAAGUAAUUUGGAGUGAUUUAUGUUAUUGUUUAUAAGAGAUUUAUCAUUGAUUAUGAAAUUAGACAUAAAUUAUAAUUACUAAUAAUGAAUAAAUUUGUACUCUAUUAUAAUUUAUACAAUGGAUAAAUUAGUAUACAACUUUUAUAUUCAUAAUUAAUUGAUAAUGUCUUAAUGAAUGUUUAAAUUUUGACUUAUGCUAGAAUUGAAUAUAUAACUAACAAGUAAUUGUUGAUUGCUAAAAUAUAGGUCAAAAUUCAUUAUUAAAUUUUAAUUAGUUAUAUUAUACAUAAAAUUUCUUUAAUUUCAAUAUUUUUCAUAAGAAUAAUUUUUUUUGCUUACGUAUAUUUCAUAUUUUUAAACUUCAAAUGUUAAUUACUUAUUAUUUUCAAAAUUUCGAUCAUUCACGUGCAUUACACAUGUCGCAAACACUAGUUAUAUAUAUGUAAAAUCAAAUUAGAGUGAAGCUUUAACAUAGAAAAUGGCACUUUAGGUUAUUUGUCGUUAUUAAUGUAAAGUAAUUCAAUAUAUCUUCAUAUGUGUAAAAAAAUAAAAUAAAAUCAUAAAAUUUAAAAUGUUUUUUCACACUCAUUCUUUGUCUUACCACCAGAGCUAAUCUUGGUCAGAAGAAAUUUAAGGUCUUGUUGUAAUGCUUUGACUUCUGAAACAUUCUUGUGCGUGUAUAUAUAUAUAUAGCCUUCAAAAUUUAAACCUUUUCGAGAGAUGAAUAAAAAAAAAGAAGACAGAAAUAAAGAAGGAUAGUGAGAUCAGUAUACGCUUAGAUUCAAGUUUGAGGAAGUCAUGAAAAAUUGUGGCUUUGAUCAUGAUUCCUUGAUUAGUUUUGUUAUAUCAAAUCCAUUAAAGGCUCUUUAAAUAUGUGUGGAGCAAACGCGGAACGUGUUGCAUGGGCGGAUGAAAGGUUAUUUUAUUAUGUGGGACAAGUGAGAAAACUCCCCACUGCAUUAAUCAGUUUUGAUCACCUGCGCUUCGUAUUUUUGGCCUCAUCACUGUCCCCCUAAUAACUACACAACAACUCAACUUUGACAGUGCAGAUCAACACACACGCAACAGAUCUAUUGGGAGACAACGAUGGACUGAUUCAUAACUUUUAUCCUGCAACGACAACUCCGACUUGAUCCAGCGGUUAUUAUCUUCUCCGAGGGGAUUGAAUUGAGGUUUCCUCGCUUCUCAUUUGUACUUCUUCGUCCAUGCAAUUUUCACAUAUAUCAGAGUUUAAAUUUUGCGAUUCAGAAAUUAAUUUUUUGUUGAAAUUUACAAUUCUAUUUAGAGUAAUAUAUCAAAUUUACUACUAUUUUUGAACGACGUAAUUUUAUUAUUAUAUCUUUUAUUUGGUUCAAAAUUUGUAAAAAAUUAAAAUAUUUUGUAAAAUAUUUUGCUAUUUUUGAAUGGAACUUUCUUUUUAAUUAUUUAUGAAUUAAAUUAAAAAGUACGAUAAAAAGUUAUACAUUAUUCAAAGAUGGAUAAUAAAUAUGAUCAAUUACCUUAAAUAAAGUAAUAAAGUUAAACCGUAUCUUUCUUUUUUUGUUUGAUUAGUAUACCUACGUAGUGUUCUUAUUUCGAGGUUUCUUACAUUAGUUAUUGCGUUAUUGACGUCCUGUAAAUGCAUGGAAAGCAAGGACUAAGUUAUGGUAUCAUAUCAUUUGAAUGUAAUAGCAUAAGGGGGCAAGUUGAAUAGCGUGGGAUGAAACUAAAUAUACAAUUGAAUUAAAAAAGAAGAAGAAGAAUUAGAAAAAGGGAGAUGAAGAUGAGAGAGGUAAAAGGGGAGGAAGUCGUCAAACUGAUGAAGCAGUCAAGACUGAAGAAAGUACAGCAUUCUGUCUGAGAAAGGGGACCACACAUUUAGAAAAUGAUGAAUGCAUGGAUUCAUCAAUAUGGGAUUAACUGCAAUGGUGCAUUUAUUUUUGAUCAAGCAGUUACGGUUUGGAUGGGAUCCCUAUAUAUUUGUAUAUGCACAUAAGAUCUAUGGAAAUGGGUCCCACGAUUUUCUUUUCUGUACAUACUUAAGAGUACCUGGGCAGACAUGCAGACAUUUGUUUUCGAUCGCAGUUUGGUUGGUGGUGCAUUUUAAUUUAGUUUGCCUUGCUAUCAAGGGGACAUGUCUCCAUUUGUCUUCAUUUAUUUUCCAUUCAGUUUCCGGCUACAUUUCACAUUUCACAUUUCACAUUGCACAUUGCUGUCUGCUGCUUGAUAAUAACAAGGAAAAGGAAAAGGAUUCAUAUAAAUAUGCUCUUUAACUUCAAAUCCCUUGUUUUUAAUAGAGGUAUUGUUUGAAGUUUAUUACCUAAUUGCAUGUCUAUUACAUAUACCGUUCUCCACUACUUUUACGUUAAUUGAGAUCUAAGUACUGCAUCACUUCUUGUCAAUGAGAAGUAGAUUAAAAGACUUUAAUCUUUUAUAUUGGGAGGAAAUUAACAAAGCCGACUAUGAUUUAACUCAAUUAUAACUUUAAUUAACUAUUCCAAAAUAAAAAAUUAAUUGAUUAGUAUAUAUGCAAAUAACCAAUCUUUGACAUGUUCAAAUACGUUAGCGGUUUUUUUUUUAAUUAGUGGAAGGGGGGAUUUGAAUCAUGUUUUUAAGGUAAGAGGAUUAUGUACCAACCACUGAGUUAAAUGCUCGGAUAUUUCAAAUAUGUUAGCGUUGGUUAAUGAAUUGUUACAAAAUCAAUACUAUAACCUAUUCAAGUCUGAAAUUCAAAUUAAUUAAAGUAGUAACUGUUUUGAUGUUAAUCAUAAAAUAGUAUGAAAAAAACUUAUUGGUGAAUUGAUCCUUGUUAGCCCUAAUGGCAAUUAUUUGCAAGGUAUAAUAUAAGAGCUUAGUUGAUAAGAGAUUUGUUAAAGUCGGUUGUAUUCUUGUAAUAAUUUUUAUUCUCAAUUUUACGAAAUAACUAUAAGAUCGCGAGAUAUUAUAAUCAUAUAAAAAAUUUUAUUUAUAAUAAAUAAAUGUUUAUAAAAAAUAAUAUUAUCAAACUAAGGUAAAUAUGCUAUCAAUGGAAAGUAGUUAGUCUUCUUUCCAAAUUAUAGAUCUCAUCAUUUAAAAAAAUAAAUUCGAUAUUUUUAAAUUGAAAUUUAGCAAGAGCUUUCCCUUUUAACACACAAAUUCAUAUUUAUAGGUGAGUACUACCACAAACCAAUGGGCAUCAAUGAUCAGUUUCUAAAAACAAAUCCAUAUUUAAUGCUUCAUCGUCAAUUACUAUGCCCUAAUAAAUCGCCGCAGUGAUUGAUCAAACAAUCACCUAAGCUACGAGAUCCUAUGAGGCUAUACAAUCACUUUCCUGGCUCUGCGGGCCUAGCUGGUUUCACUGUUUCAGCUUGUAUUUUCAAGCUGGGCUGUUGGGAUCAAUAGGUCGAGGUCUGUAAAGUUUGAAUAUCCUGCUAUUUUAUGAAAUCACGAAUCUUGUAUAACUGGUUUCGAGAGGGAAAAAGGAUUUGCGGCGUUUUCAGUGAACAUUGCUUCUGUACCAAGAAAGGGUUCAUCGAAUCACAUUCUGAAAUUGCAGAUAUGGCAUUUUUACACUUCUUUGUAGCUUUGCAUGCUGGUUUGAAGCGACCUUUUGACGUUCCUUGAAAAAUGAAAUAAUAGCAAGUAAUUUUACGUGCCAAAAUUCAUGAAAUUUUAUACACAAAAUAAAUAAUUCAUCAGUCAAAUUUUACAAGAUCGUGAUUAUUAUAUAAUUAAUUAAUUUUAAAAAAAUUUUACAGUACAAUUCCCAUUAUUACAUCUAAUAUUGUUGCUAAGCUUUAAUCUAGAAGUCAAAUUAAGCCGCAAAGGGGUUCUAUAUUUUAAAUAUCUUUGCCAAUAACUCACUGGCCAGUUCAACCGAGUUGGUCUACGAGUCUAGCAUUUAUGUAUCAACCAAGCUUUAUACCUACACCGCAGUUAAUUAAAUACAUACGUGCUGCCUACAAAAAGAAUUACAAAGUACACAGAUAUUCAUAUAUAUAUAUAUAUACACCUAUAACUUAUUAAUAUUUAUUUAAACUUUAAGAGUUAAUUUCGAGAUUAAAAGACUCUUCUAAUAGUGAAAUUAUUUUUGCGCCAAAACAUUUAAAAUGAAAAGGAAUGAUAGCAAAUAACUGAAAAAAAAAACAAAAAGAAACAAAGAAAUAUGUCACCUAACAUGUUAAAAUUUGAUAAGGAUGAGAUAUAUAGCUUAUUAAUAUGGUAAUAAAGCCUAAUCAACCUAAUGCCUUUGCUAGAACUUGAAUCUUAACCACCUCCAAUCUAUUAUUAUCAUGUAUGAUUUUGGGUUAAAAAAUAUUAUUAAGUAUAUAUAUAUAUAUAUAUAUCUGAUGAGGAUAUUAGACAUUAAAGUUUAUUGAUUUAUUAUUGGUUUUUAUCUAAUAGUUUAAACUUUUAGGCCGGGUAUUUUUUGGUUGAAGAAAACAUUUGAAAUAAGGAAAAACAAUAAAAAUAAAAAAAAACUUUUGGCUCUUAGAAGUAAAACCAAAAAAAGAAAAGGGAAACUGUAACAAUAAAAACAAACAUGAGAAAGAAGAGAGACGACCCAGGGUUAGGUACGGAAGAUUGGGUAUAUCUAUUAAAACUUGCGCUCUCACCUUCCAAUAUUAUUAGUUCUGGUAGCCAUUGUUCUUUUGAUGAGAUUUCUGCUAGCUUGAAAAGGGACUGUUGCAGCCUUGAUUAUAUAACUCACUGUACAACUUGAAACUAGCCUACCUAUGUUAUAAAUGCAAUAUAAAGCAUCAACAUCGGGUGGCACUGGCAGAUUAAUGUGGCCAAAUCACAUGCUUCUCGCUGAUUGAUGAUGAGACUAUAAAUAUAUACGUGUGGUUAUACAAACAAUUAAAAAUCUAACAUUUUUUCAUGUCUUGUAAUUGUCAUAUAUAUUGAAAGAAGUUAGCUAUACUUGGUUUAGAUGAUAAUUUUUUUUCCAUAUUUAAAGAUUGAACACCACUCACCUAUCGAUUAAUUAAUUUGGCAUCUAAAGUAGGUUUGUCAAUCAUGAUACAUGAGAUAAUGAGAAUGAGAAUGAUUGAUGUUAAUAUAGUGCUCCCUUACUUUAUCUAGAGAACCAGCUAUGGCACCAUUGUGAUAAAUAUUCACACCAAUUCAAUGUGGCAAUCAAAUGGCCUGGAUCCUGAGGAAGAAGCAGAAAAAUGAAAAGGAAGAAACAAUGGACAAGGAAAAGAAAAGAGAAGUUGUCAUUUCCAACAUUCAUUGCCUCGACUAAUUGCUAGCUUUUAACCACGAACAAACCGACGCCAAUACCAGUGCUUCUCCCAAACUAAAUUCAUGGAGUCGAGAGGAAUUCCUUUUGUUUCGGGGAGGAAGAGAGCAACGAAAAUGGUCAUCAAGGCGAUCCAAGCCGAGUAGAACAAGAAAGUGCCAAAUUUGAAGUGGCAAAGCAUGGUCAAGAAGGUUUGGGACAGCACAAAGGUGGUUGCAAAGUUGACGGCAACGCUGAUGCUUUGGCCCGUGGGCCGAAUUUUUAUGGGGAAGAUUUCACUUGGGAUGAGCCAGCUGAGAGGGCCCCAAGACCAACCAAAUCCAGCUGCGUAUAUGCACAUUAGAACCAGUACCAGUAUGGCAUAGCCCUUGCUGAUUUGCUUGUCGCCUGAAACUCCUGUUGUAACCGCUAGCAGGACUGCCACCCCGACCUUUUCAAGAUUUCAAAAAAAAAAAAAUUCAGUUGAUUUUAGCAAUUGACUGAAUAGAAAUUUCAUGCAUCAAUUCUUGCAAAUAUUCGUUUAGUAUAUCACAGAUGGGUCUUUAAAUUCCUUCAUAGUCCUGCAAUUUAGCCCAGAUAUAAGCCCAAUUAAUAAAACCACGGCUCCUCUAGCCCAAGGAUGACAGGCCCUUCCCCUUUCCCAUGCCCUUCAAUCUCACAAACUCUGGAGUACAAACAAGAGCUUGAAAGGCUAAAAAGAAGAUGAAGAAGAGAUAAUAAGAGCAAAUGCAUACCUGACAGGCAAACAUUUGAAUUCCACCUUCCAUGAACAAAAACCUCCGACCAUACCGAUCAACUACACCGGUAGACACAAGGAUCGAAGCAAGGUUAACCAACCCCAGUAUGAUAGCUGCUAUCAAAGCUGAAUCACUUCCCAAACCAACUGAUUGGAAUAGAACCGGUGCAUAGAAUGCAAUGAUGUUAAUCCCAGUAACCUGUUGAAAAAAUGGUAUGGCAAUUGACAUGACCAGAUGAGGCCUGUAUUGCCUCUCAAAUAUUGUCAUGAAGGGUUCUCGGUUGGCUUCUUUGGCCACAUCACUGGCCUUUUUAAGCUCAGCAAACUCAGCUUCCACAUCAGAGUGUUUCCCUCGGACUUUGAAAAGAGACUGUCGGGCUUGCUCCACUUUGCCUCGUUCUAUUAGGCUGCUGGGUGUGUCCAAAAUGAGGAGUGCGCCUAUCGUCAUGAUGGCAGCGGGUACUACGGCGAGGCCAAGAGACAGGCGCCAGCCCCAGCUGCGUUUAGCGGUUACGAAGUUUAAGCAAUUGGCUACGACCACCCCAAUGCCUAUGAAGAAUUGGAAGCCUGUGUUGAAGGCACCUCGCCAUUUUGGUGGUGCCACUUCAGAGAGGUAUACAGGAGUUGCCUUCAUUGUAGUUUAGAAGAAAAUUUAACGUUAAUUUUAUUAGAAAGUAGACAAUAUUAUCCAUGUUUGCAUUUAUUAUGACACACGUGCUCAAGUUUUCUUUGGCCAAAAGUUGGCUUCCCUCUUAUAUUUUACUUUAGAAAUUGUUAGAUUCAAUUUAUAGUCAAAAUGAUUGCGUUUGCUCGUCUUGUAUGGUAUUUAUGAUAUGGUGAGAUCCAGAAUGCAAGCUUUUGGGAUUUGAAAAUAGCUAUGCUAACAACCAUUAAUUAUUUGAACGAUUCCCAAAGCCUUUAUAUAUAUCUAUAAAUGAAAUGGGAUUGAUAUUUAAAAAAGAAAAAAAUAUAUGAAAGAAGACUAAUUUUUAUCAUGUUUACCGUGGUAAGAAACAGAAAAGAAUUUGGUCAUGUCUCUUUGAAAAAAUAGGGGUUAUAUAUUAAACUUAGACAAAGGUAUAAAAUGCAAAGUAGCAACUAGUUACCUGAUUGGUGAAACCAACUCCAAAUCCAAGCAAGAUACGGCCUAAGAUAAGCAUGGCAACAUUAGCAGCGCCACCAUUGAUGGCAGCACCAGCCAAGAAGGUGAGGCCACCUAUCACCAUGGUGUUUCUGCGACCAAUUGCGGCAGUGAGGCGGCUAGCAACCAGUGAUGCAGCCAAACCGGCCAAAUAUAGUGAAGAAGUAAAUGCCGUUAAAACUUGGCUAUCGUACAUGCAGUACAUGUUUCUUUCAGCCUCCCCUGCCUUUCUAUAUACUGCUGGGAAAAAUUUCUGCAGAAAUGGUGCCAUAGUUGUCACACCUCCUGCGAAUUUUUGCCAGCAAUACCAGGGAAUGUGUCAGUAAUAGUAGCGGAUUCAAGUUUUGGGUAUUUUAUUUAUCUUAAAUUAUAUGCAACCUUCACUUCUAAUUUGUUAAUGUGAAUUGACAUAUAUUAUUAAUUUUUGUUUCAUCUCCUUUUUCUUUCAAAAUUUUAUGAGCCAGUUAAAGCCGUGAUGUGAUUAUAGAUCAAGAAAACGAUAUGAGCUUAAAUUAUUAAUGUAAAAAAUUGCAGUGCCAAGAAUCAUUCAAACAGGGUUGCUCGGUCUAGAAGCUUAGAUGCUGAAUGGCUGAUACAACUAAGAAAUAAAUUUUACCUGAGCAGAACUUAUCUUCAUUCCUCAAUAUAGAAGUGUAAGCAGGAAUUUUUAUAAUAUUUAUUUGGUAGAACUUAUAUAAAAUUUUUUAUAUAAUAUAUUUUCAGGUUCCUAAUUACAACAAGUUAUUUAGUAUUUAAAUUUAUUGAUAAUUAGCAUAAAAGUCAACAAUGUUAAAUACUUGAUUUUUCUAUUGUCAAACCUAAAGUAAGUGAUAUAUAAGAAAUCCAAUUUAAAUAUUGUCAUCUUUGGAUAUAAUUGAGCAUUACAUGCAACAUCGACCUCAUGUUUAGCAGGGUUUAGUUCUAAUGGGAGACACUUCUCACCUAAUCUUCCUUUUUAUUUCCCCUUCUUUUUUGGCUAACCAUUAGCAGUUUCCCCUAACUUGCAAAUAUUUUCCAUUCUUAAGGGAGAAUUUCACCUGUAAUUGUUUUGAUUACAACCUCACAAUUAUCCAAUCAAAAUAAAAAAUUAUGUAGAGAUCUACCAUUUAUAAGUGUCGAUUUCACAUAAUAUUUUGAUAGAUCCUACACAAUUUUGAAUUGUAAUUAAUUAAUUAUAAUGUAAUAAUUAAAUAUUAUGUGUUCAUUCUAAAGGGCGGUUCAUAACUAUUAAACAGCUUACCUAAUACCUCAAAUCUUUUGUUAGUUAACCCAAUAUUUAGACUUAGGCUUUUCCUUUCUGGCUAGUAGGUAUAUAUCAUCAGAUUUUUCUUGGUCUGUACAAAAACAUUUCAACUGCCCAGAGGCUAUGAAAAAGACUUAGAUCCCAAAUGGAGAAUUAAUUAGCUUUCUUGACUACGUUUCAUUGAAAAUUAUGAUCAACCAAUGACCAUCGGUAGCUACCUUGUUAAUGAAAAGGUCCAGAUGGCAAACUAUAUAUAACAAAGUUACAUUAGUCCAAAAUUGACUAACGAAUUGGAGUGCAUCACUAACCUAACUAUCAUGACCGUAAAAUAGAGUAAAAUAUUUUUAUUUUUAAAAUUUUGAUUGAAAUUAUAAAAAACCUUAUUAAUUUUUAAAAUAGACAUUCAAUCUUAAGAGUACAAACACCGUUAACAAAAAUUAUGGAAAAAAUUAAAAUAUCUUUUAUUUCUUUAUUAAUUUAAAAAAUUAUUAUUAUACUUUUAAAAUAUAAAAAAAAAUAGAGAGCAUCGAUCCUCACUUUAGAUGGGGAGCUUAUUUUUAAUUAAUAAAAAAUAAUAAAAUUAUAUAAUAAUUAUUAUGAAAAUUAAUCAAGAGUAAAAUUAUUUUUUUAUCUUUGUCAUAUUAGCAAGUUGAUGAAAAUAUUAAUAACUGACUAACAACUGAAUUUAUGUGUUUAAAAAAAUAUAUUUUUUUGAGACAGAAUGUGUAUUUUGAAAACUAAUGAAUUUAUGUGUAAUAUCAAGUAAAAUUUAAGAGAUAAAGAUUUCAAAAUAAAGAUGACUUAGGUUUUGGAAAAAGAAAAACUAUUCAACAUGCUUUUCUUUUUUUUAAGAAAAGAUUGUAAACUACCAUCCACCAGUCAAAGUUUCCAAAUGUUGACUUAUUUCAGUACGUUUUCCUUUUAUCCGCAGACAAUUCUAUCAUCCAGCAUAGCAAAGUGCCACCACAAUUUUUUAACUAAAUCCAGAAAAGGAUUUGGUACUUCCAAAAUGCUCUAGAAUAAUGGAACUAUUAUUCCCCUGAAUCUCCCCUGGUUCCAGAAUCAAGAAAUUCUCUAUUUAGCCACCUAAAGCACAGCUUGGAACUUUGAAACCUCUGUUCUGUUUUUUAUAAUCCUGCCUCUACUCUACUUUUGUUUCCAGUAAAAUGUUUUUUCUUAACGGAGAAUGAAAUUAAAUUUGAAAAUACUAUUCCAUUGAUGUUCGGAUAGUAUUGAAUUUGUUUCAUUUUUGUCACUGAAACGCCUCCAGCUGCUGAGGGCCAAAACUGCUAGCAAACUUAAAUGAAUUAUGAAUGAAUCCCGCAGUCUGAUUUUCUCAAUUUAAUUUACUAGUGUAAGGACCAGAACUGUAAAUCAUAACCAAGGAAAAAAGUAGAGAAACAGAAACAUUAUACUGGUGCGUUGUGCAAAGAUGAAAGUUUAAUUCAAUGGCUAAAGUGUUAUGACCCAAAUAAAUAACGUUUCAUUCUUUUGUUCUUCCAUCCUUCCUAGUUCCUACCUAACACAGUAAACAGUGUACGUAGGUAGCUGAUAUUCUUAUCAGAUAAUUUAAAUAUGUUAAAAGGAUAAACGAAAUAGCACCUGAAAUUCCGAUGUCAUACCCAAAUAUGAGGCCGCUUGUUGCAGCUACGAUGCAGGUAAUCACCACUGAAGCCGUGAUCUGGCCAUUGACGGCGCCGCUGACAGGACCGUCGACUGCGAAACCUCCUACAGCCAUGUCUGCUGCUCUUUCUCGGAGCCCGAGAAAGAUGAAGAACUUAAAAACAGCAGGAGCAAAUCCUGAUGAUCAGCCUUUUCUCAGCACCCUGUCGCGACAAGAGAAGAGAGCACUUAAUUUAUAUACAGAAACAUGGCGGGAGUUACACGACAGAGAAAAGGGACCUUAGGACCUGUUUUUGGCGUCAAAUUGACUUUAUGUAAAUAAAAAAUUACUCUGAGGUCUGAGCUACCCGUCCAUCAACGAAACCUGGGUAUCUUAUCUUAAGAAAGUCGUGUUCGGGAUCUUCAAACUUUCGUUAAGAAAAUAAUAUUAUAGUAACAAAAAGGAAACAAAUGGAAAACUUAGUUGUCUUGUAUGAUUAUAUUUCUUUGUAUGGGUUUUGUCAGUUUCUGUUGCAAUGCUAAUCUUCUUUGAGGGCCCAUUGAAUUUCUUCCAAAUUUGUAAAUUUCAUUUUUUGGGGGAGUGGGGGAUGGUUGGGGGCGCGAAGUGGUGGGGCGCAGGGUUGAGAUUCUUUUUUGCAGAGCUCCUUUUCGGUUUUACUUUUAGGCAAAGGAUAAAAAGGCAUUGUGGCGAGACUGCAACAACUAUGCGCGAGCAUGCCAGGGAAAAGACACGAGCGCAUUAUUUCACACCCACCACAGCCAAAGGAAACUGGUAGUUGGCCACGAGGAUUGCCAAUACCUUCCCUUCUCCUAUCAAGCUGGAUUAUGGAUUCUAAGUCUCAUUUAUUAAGCAAAUAUUAUUAAUUUAAGCAAACAAUUUGAAUUAAUAAUAUUUGCUUAAUAAAUGAGAUUUGGAUAAAUAAAGAUGGAAAAAAUAAACUACCAAGUUUAAUAAGCAAGUGGAACAAAAAUGGUUUAAUUUGUUCCGUUCCCCUCCUUUUAAGCUUCAAGAAGAGAAUUAAUGGCUUGCUCAACCUCUCCUUCUGAUCAAUGAAUUGACUUUCCUGAAAUGAUUUUUCAUCCCCAACACCAGCCCUUUUCCCGGCAACGAGACCUAGAAUUGCUGAGACCGGUGAAUGUGGCACGUGGGCUAAUGUGUGAGGCAUACAAUUACUACGGUAGGAAAAGUUUAUGAAAUUGACCAAGAAAGAAUCCAACGUUUGUUUGAUUAAAAUAAAGAAACAUUUUUAAAAAUAACUUUUAUAAAUAAAAUAUUUUUUAUAAUUUUAAUUAUUUUUAAUCAAAUUAGAUAAAAUUACCCUUAAUAAAAUUACAUGUUAUGUAUAAAAAUAUGUUACACGUCAUAUACAAAAAUAUGUAACACGUCAUGGUUAAAUUGUUAUACACCAUGGUUAUAUUGUUGCAUGUCAUGUGCAAAAACAUGUGACACGUUAUGAUUAGAUUGUUACACACUAUGAUUAAGUUAUUAUACGUCAUAUUGAAAAAAAAUAUUAUUGUUGCACGUCAUGUUGAAAAAAUAUUAUUAUUUCACACUAUAUUCAAAACAUUUUAUUACACUUUAAUUUCUAAAAUAUUGUUAGUUGUUACUUACAAACCAAAACUUCAAAUCUUCUCAACUCUCUUUAUUUCUUUUUUUUUUUUUUUACAAUUUGACACUGAUUAAAGUGUUUCUAACAUGUUUUCAUAAAUCAAAACACUAAUUUUCUUAUUUAAAAUACCUAUUUCGACUAAAAAUCGAAAUUUUUUUUUAAAAAAAACUUAGGUUUAUAAAUUUUAAAAUUUUGAGUUUAUUGGUGUCUAGGUCUCAAAUUGAUAUAAUUAAAAGUUAUUUCAAGCAUCUAUGAUCAUUUCUACCAUUUUAGUUUUAUCCAAAAUAUAUAAAAAUUAAAAUUUUCAAAUAGCCACCAACCUAAACACAUCAAAAUCAUUGCUUGAUGUCUUGAAAGAGUAGGAAAGAGAAAUCUAAGAGAAAUCGGGAGUAUAGUAGACGAAUAUCGAAGCGAAAAAUCGAUAAAAUUAAAGAGAGUGGGAUGGUGAGAGAGAGAAAUUGGAAGCACAAAUGGAGAGAAAUUAUGAUAAAUAGUUUAAUUUAUUUAAAAUAGUUUUAAGGGUAUUUUUAUCAAAUCUUUAUUAAAUAUGAUUAAAAAUAAUUAAAUUUAUUUUUAUGAUUAUUUUUUAAAUAUUUUUAUCAAAAAAAGUUAUUUCUCAUAAUUUCUUUUAAAUAAAAUAGAUUUAUUAACCAACAAGGUUUUCUCUGAGUUGGAUAGCAUUUGAUCCAUUGAUCUUUAACAGGCAUGCAUUUAACCAUCAAGACACAAGGAAAGCUCCCUAGUUUGAGUUUGUUUCAUCAUUUUGGCAUAUUUCAAAAUAUAAAAUAUCAAUAAGAAAUGUCUAAAAUGUUGAUGGAGAAAGAUUGAAUUGUAUCUCAAAUUUAAUAUUGAUUAUGCUGCUAGAGGAAAGCUGUGUCCAACCAGAAUAGGAUGUGUAUUGAGAGAUGAUAAAGGAAAUACGCUGGUGUUAUUCUUAGGGUCUAUUGGAGAGGCUGACUUUAAUUAUAUUAAAUUUAAGGCAAUUUGUACAAUUAUGGAAAUCUUCUGUCAAUCUAAAUGGUUGGUUUAAAAUGUUUGAUUAUUGAAACUGGUUCUAUUAAUGUUGUUCUUCAUUUGCAAGUAAGACCAUGGAGAUGGUUGAGGGAAUUUCAGACCAUGGACCAGCUGAAGGAGCUGAUCGGGUCUGUAAAGGUGGUGCACAUCCUGAGAGAGGCAAAUGAAUGCUCUGACUACUUGGCCAAAACAGGCAUAUUUAGGGAGGAGCUGCUAGUGGCAAGGAUCUAGAGGCGGAACUGGAAACUUUGAUGAGGGACUUCGCUUUUGCUUUUGGUGAGGCAAUUUUCAUGGUUGACAAAUGGAACUUAUGAGCUGUUUUUGGUGGCUAUUUCUGCUUGUUAAUUUCUGCCUCUAGCCUGAUUUGGAUAAUUCUGGCUUUCCUGGUUGAUGGUCUCUGUUUGUGACGUUAUUAUUGCUUUAUGACUUUUUGGUAUGUAUCGUGGGUAUGGACGUAUGGUUUUGCUGGCUAUUUUUUUGUCCAUGUUUAUGUGGUGUACGCUUCCUGGAAUGCUGGAGGAUGGCCAUCCCAAGCAUUGAUUUUUGAGGUGAUAUAUAGGCCAUUUUAUUAGGGACUGAGAAUUGGAUGGCAGUGUGUACAGGGCUUGAAUGUUGAAUAGGGCGCAGAUGUCCACAAAUUUUUGUUCUCUUUAUGGCGGGAUACGAUUGAGGUAACCAUCAUUUUUUCAAUGAAAUAUCUAAUGACUUAUCAAAAAAAUUGAAUUAUACCUAAAUAAGAGAUAUAACAAUAUAAUCUAAUAAGAAUUCGAGACAAAAAUUUAUUUUUUUUGAAAAAUAAAUUUUAUUCUUUCAUAAUCGGUAAUUUCAUGACAAGUUCCAAACUUAAUUAACAAAAAACUUUAAUGACAUGAAAUUUGGUAAGGGCAAGGUAAGUGUACACUUACAAAAAAUUCACUGCACAAAAAGUCAUUGGCAGCAAAGGAUCCCAACAACAGCAGACCAAAGCAAACAUCUUUCAAAAACAGAAAAAGACGAGCCUAUGAAUGACAGGUCCAUCUCUUCUCCUGCUUAGAGUCAAAGAAGUCCACAAAAAGAUAUGGGGAAAUUGGGGGGUAUACCGGCUGGUGGUGGGCAUAACUUUCAAUAUCUGUGGAUUUCUUUUGUAAUCAUGGCCUGUAUCAGAUAUGGGGAAAUAUUCAUUCCCCUGGUUUUAAUGAAAUCUCUUUUAAUGACUUUCAAAAAAAAGAAAAGAAAGUCCACAAAAAGAGAAGACACGGAGAGGAGAAGCCAAAGGACCAUAAAAAGCAUCCAAAGACAGAAUCCAAUCUCACAAAAGAUUAAUGGCACGUUUGGUUCGCGGAAUAGAUAGAAAUAGAAUAGAAUAGUUAUUACGUGAGAAUAGAAUGAGGUGAGAAUAGAAUAGAAUAAGUAUUAUGUAAUUUAGUAUGAUGAAUGAAAUAGACUAGAAAUAAUUAUUAUGACUUAUUACAGUGUUUGGUGGGUAACAAUAGUUUUAGAAUAGGAAAAGAAUAGAAAUUAAAAAGACAAAAAUACUUUUUAUUAUAUUUUAUUAUUUUUUAUUUUAUUUUUUAAAUAUUAAUAAUUUAUAAUUAAUUAAAAUAUUAAUAAUUAAUAAUUUAAAUAUCAAUAUUUUAAUAUAAUUUAAUUACUNNNNNNNNNNNNNNNNNNNNNNNNNNNNNNNNNNNNNNNNNNNNNNNNNNNNNNNNNNNNNNNNNNNNNNNNNNNNNNNNNNNNNNNNNNNNNNNNNNNNNNNNNNNNNNNNNNNNNNNNNNUUAAAUUAUAUAUAAAAUAUUAAUAUUUUAAAUUUUAUAAAUAAUUUAUUCUUUUAUUUCCAUUUUUCCCUUUUUCUUUUUUUCUUUUUCAUGAGCCGGUCGCCGGAAAGACGACUGGUGUAACAAAACGUCGAUCUGGCGCACCAUGUGGCCAGAUCUGGCCACUACGACGCUAGAUCGGCGCUUCCCUGCGGCUGGAUCUGGUUGUGGAGUGCCAGAUCCAACCGUGGGAUCUGGUCGGGAAGCACCAGAUCCGGUGCUUCCCGCUGCCAGAUCUGGCCAAAUCUCCGACGUAACCUGGUCCGACCAUAUUCGGUCAUAAAAUCACCGUCACAGCCGCUUCCGUCGCUUUCGCUGCCGUCGCCGCCGCCACUAACAUCAUCUCCGGCGUUGAUGCCACUUAGAGAGAGAAUAAGAAAGGAAAGAAAAUGAGAAGAGAGAGAAAGAAAAAGGGAAAAUGAGAAUAUAUAUAUAGGUCUAGGGUUGUAAUAUUUUUAAACAAUAAGGGACAUUUUAGUCAUAUCAUAAUUCAGAGUUAUUCCCAUGAUCACGGAAUAGCAAAAACCAUGAAAAACCUCGAAUUUAACUAUGCCUGAGUUUUACCCCUUUUGAGAGAAUAGCUAUUACUAAGUAAUAGCUAUUCUUUGUGAUAUUGCCAUACCAAACGGAGGUAAGCUAUUCCCUUGGGAAUAGACAGUGAAUAGAUUAGCUAUUCCCUGUACCAAACGUGCAGUAAAGGCUUUGCCAAUUCCCAGAAAACCAACACCCCUCCAAAGCUGAGCCCACAGAAGCCUCCAUCGCAAAGAUCCUCAACAGAUGGGAUCGUAGCGCACCAACAUCAGAGGAACGCACUCCAGAAAACCACCGAAAAGACCGCCAUUAAAAAAUUACAGAUUUAAUUUUUUGAAUUAUAUUUUACACUUUACGAAAAAUAUAAACAUUACACAAAAGAAUUUGUAUACUUGAUUAUGUGUAGAUCUAACUUUAUAUAAAUUAGGAGGUCAAUAUUAAAUUACUAAAUUAACAUUAUAUUCGAUUAAACGGAUAUGUGAUAAAUGUGUAAACAUCUACGUACAUAAAGUUAUUGAAUUUCGUCGCUGUAUGUAUUGGAUAAUAAUGCCAAUUGGCAAUUCAUUUUUAUUUUUUGGUACAUUAAUGCUAAUACCUUUCUCUAAUACUCAAACCUGCUUCAGAAUUCAUUAAUUUAAAUAAAAACAAGAUAUACACACAGUUAUUACUGCCUGCUCUGGUUUUGCAUUAGCGAGGACACAUCAUACGUACGAUUCUAUUUUAAUUAAUUUGUAGAAAUGGAAAAUGGUCCGGAUACGAGAUACCUAUCUUUUCAAGUGAUUUCUUCUUUUUUAAGUGUAACUUGAUUAGUUAAUUAACUUUCUAUGUGUAUUUUUUUUAAAAGUAAAAUAUUUUAAUUAAAAUUACAUAAAAAUUUAUUAGUUUUUGAUAUAGACACUUUACUCUAAGGUACAAAAAUUAUUAAUAAAAAUAAUGAACAGAUUAAAAUAUUUUUUUUAUUAAUUUAAAAAAUUAUUAUUAUAUUUUCUUAAAAAUAUAAAAAAUAAGACCCAACUCCUCAAGAAAGAGGAGCACCAUUGCUCCCCUUUGGGAGCCCGAUCGGGCUCCCCAUGAGAGCUCCGAUGCCCCUAAUGAAGAGUUUUUUUUUUAAUUAAUAAAAAAUAAUAAAAUUUUAUAAUAAUAAUUAUAAAAAUUAAUCAAUGAUAAAAUUAUUUUUUUAUUUUUAUCACAUCAACAAAUUGAUAAAAAUGUUAACUGUUGACUAAUGGCAUGUCAAGUAAAAAAUAUUUUUUUAAGACGAAGUGUCUAUUUUAAAAAUUAAUAAAUUUUUGUGUAAUUUUAAUCAAAAUUUAAAAAAUAAGGGCAUUUUAUCUUUAAAAAAAUACAUGUUUUAAUUUGGGGAAAUUUUUUGGUCUAAGUCUUGGACUGGUUUCGUGGUGUUCUGCAUUUAACUGAAAGAAAGUCUUUGCUGGAAUUUAUCAUGUUAAUCUGGAUCAUUUGGGAUGCAAGGAAUGAAAUCUUGUACGGGUUGAAACAAAGAAAUCCAGGUAAAGAGUUUGCAGGCUGUCAAAGUAAGGCCCCUGAAUGAACCCAAAGGCCCACUCGAAGAUGGGCAUCGAUAUGCCAAUAUUAUUCGGCAUUUAUUGUCUUGGUGGAAGCCUUAGGCCCAUGGGAGACUUGCUGCUGAAAGAAGAAUCACAGAUCAUAGAAAUAACUUCCUCCAAUUUUCAUAAAUCAUAGAAGUUGAUCUUCACUGUGCUUUGAUUUUCAACCAAGUAAAUUAAAAGAGAUAUUCGAAAUUGUUCUCAAGAAGCUUUGAAUGAUCAAGCUUUCCAUUUACUUUCCCUUCCCCGCUACCUUGCAGCAACAAUCAAUUGGCUGAAAUUGUUUCCAAAAUUAAAACUUGAAUUAAUGACAAUAAUACUAACACUUUGGCCUCUGGUUGAUUAAAGUCUUUGAGAUUAUAGUUUCAAAGCUAAUUGAAUUCAGACAAAUAAAUUACAGUGAGUACUAAUGUAUCAAGUAGCCAAAAACAAAUGUAGUCUUGAAUAUAUUCAAAUUGUUUUUGUUUUUUGUUCUUAAUGGGGAAUAACCAAGUACCUCGUAAGUGCAUAGAGAAUGAGAAGGCUUCAAGAAAUGGAGAAUGAAAGGAUUCAUGCCUAGUGGAUGUGGUUGAGAGCGCAUUGUAAGUAAAAUAAUUCAAGCUCAACAAGAUAUAGAGACAAAUUAUUAACAUCUACUAUAUAUAAGAACGGUAAAUUACUAACAUCUACUAGCCAAAUAAAUAAAUAAAAACAUCUACAUCUUUUACUGCAAGUCAUAUGUAGUCAUGUGACAUUUUAAAGUCUGCUAGUUUUAUUAAUGUACAAGAACUUUCUUCUUAUCGGAGCAUGAUAAAUCACAUUUCCGUUACUAACAUGACAACAUACUUGGUCGUGAACCAAUCCCAUCUUGAAGUUCAUUAAUCACUCGACCCAAGGUACUCAUCUCUGACAGAAUUACAAAUGGGUUGUUGGAAAAUGCUUUUGGGCCCAAAACAGGAGAAAGAAAUGCUUCUAUAUUGUGUGAUAUCUGAAUCCAGGGGCUCGUAAAAGAAAAAGACAAAGGAAAACAGAAAGAGAGAGUGCAACAUACGUUCAGCCUAAAAGGGGGUAGUGACCGUGAACAACAAGUUCACUACUUGACUUGAGCCGUUCAACGGGCAAACAUACAUUACUAGCAGACAAAGACUUAAAUCCAAUUCUUGAACUCGUCAACUUUUCUCACAUUGAAAGGACUGACCGGAAAUGAAGUCAACCCUGGAGCAAAAAUGGGUGAAAGACUUCGUCUAGUUAGUUAUGACGUACGGAAAACUGCAAUUGUUUAUAUAUAUACAUCACGUCAAGGUUGUUAUUUGCAUGCACAUCUGUUUUUUAAUCAUGAAGUUGGUAGCCUUGCUUGUUUCACUACUCUUGUAUGUGACUACAUUACAAUAUUCUUCACUUAAUGUUGCUUCUGACUCUGCAGCAGAGGCACUGGCACUCCUCAAAUGGAAAGCCAGCAUUCAAAACCAAAACCAGUCUGUUUUGCCUUCUUGGAAUAUUUCUACUGCUACUGCACCCAAUACUUCCACCCACCUGAAAACAAAAACAAAUCCAUGUGCUUGGUUUGGAAUCCAUUGCCGCAAUGCUGACACCAUUAUGAGGAUUAACCUCACUGGCUAUGGUGUGAAAGGUACGCUCCAUACAUUUCCAUUCUCAUCUUUGCCUAAUCUUGCAGAAUUAGAUCUUAGUUUCAAUGAACUCUAUGGCACAAUCCCACCUCAAAUCAGUCAGCUCUCUAAAAUCACCUACCUUGACUUAUCGUCCAAUAAGUUGUCCGGGCAUAUCCCACCUGAAAUUGGCCACCUUAUACAUCUUGAGACCCUCCACCUUGCCGAAAAUCGGUUGAAUGGCUCAAUUCCUCAAGAAAUUGGUCAGCUCAAAUCGGUUACGGAGCUUACCUUGUCCACCAACAAUCUAAUUGGUUCCGUUCCUGCUUCUCUUGGUAACUUAAGCCAACUUGUGACCUUAUGUCUGGAUGAUAAUUUCCUUUCUAGUCCCAUUCCUCCAGAAAUGGGAAACAUCACGAAUUUGUUUGAAGUUCACAUGGACACCAACCAUCUAACAGGUCCCAUCCCUUCCACUUUUGGAAACUUGAAAAAGCUAUCUGUGCUUUACAUAUUUCACAAUCAUCUUUCUGGAUCCAUCCCUUCUGAAUUAGGGUAUAUGAAAUCUCUCACUGAGAUAUGUCUUUAUCAAAAUAAUCUAUCUGGUUUGAUCCCGACCUCAUUAGGUGACUUGAGACUCCUUACACGUCUCCAACUUUAUGAUAAUCAACUUUCUGGUCCCAUUCCUGAGGAAAUAGGAAACUUGAAAGCCCUUGUUUAUCUAGAGUUGAGUCAAAAUCAACUCAAUGGUUCAAUUCCUGCUUCAUUUGGUAAUUUGGGAAACUUAGAAACUUUGUUCCUCCGAGACAACAAACUUUCUGGUUCCAUACCUCAAGAAAUAGGAAAUUUGAUGAAAUUGACCAUGUUGGAAUUAGACCAUAACCAACUGACCGGCAAUUUGCCCCAAAACAUUUGCCGUGGUGGAACACUUCGAUACUUCACAGCAAAUGACAACCAUCUUGUGGGGCCAAUCCCUGAAGGGUUGAAAAAUUGCACGAGCUUGCUUAGAGUCUACCUUGGAGGAAACCGACUAACUGGGAAUAUAUCUGAAGAUUUUGGCGUUUAUCCCAGCUUAAAAUUCAUUGACUUAAGUGACAAUGAAUUUUAUGGUGAAGUGUCGUCUAAUUGGGGGUUGUGCAAAAGUUUACAGGCCCUAUCUAUUGCAAGGAACAAUAUCACUGGCAGAAUACCACCUGAGAUUGGAAGCUCAAGUCAGGUACAUCUCCUCGAUCUUUCCUCCAAUGAUAUAGUUGGGGAGAUUCCAAUGGAAAUUGCAAAGUUGACUUCUUUGACUGCGCUUUGUUUGAACGGGAAUCAACUUUCUGGUGGUAUACCCCUGGAACUAGGACUUUUAUCUAACCUUUUAUAUCUUGACUUGUCUGCAAACCAACUGAGCAAGUCGAUCCCUGAAAAUAUAGAGAAUUUGUCCAAAUUAUACUACUUGAAUUUGAGCAUCAACAAAUUUAACCAAAGAAUUCCGAUUCAAGUAGGCAAGUUAACUCAUCUGAAUCUGCUAGAUUUGAGUCACAACAUGCUUUCAGGGGAGAUCCCAGUGGAAUUUCAUUCUUUGCAGAGCUUGUCGGUUUUAAAUCUUUCUUACAACAAUCUCUCUGGUGAAAUCCCAGCCUCUUUUGAGCUGCUCCAUGGCUUGUCCUCUGUUGACAUAGCAUAUAACGAGCUGCAGGGUCCCAUUCCCAACAACCAAGCAUUUCAAAAUGCUUCAAUAGAAGCAUUACGAGGGAACAAAGGUUUGUGUGGCAAUGUUAGCGGGUUGCCACCUUGCACACCUUUUUCUAGGAAGGGUCAAAACCACAAGACCCUCUUCACAGCUUUAUUCCCUCUUUUGUCACUUGCUGGUCUCUCAAUUUCAUCAGUUGCAUUGUUUUCCAUCUUCAAAAAGAGGAAGAAAAAUGCGGACGAAGAACGACAAAUCAGUGUGAGUGAUGAAACUUUUUUCUCAAUAUCUUCCUUUAAUGGAAAAGUACUAUAUGAAGAGAUCAUUAGAGCUACCAAGGAUUUCGAUGCUCAAUAUUGCGUCGCGAAGGGAGGCAAUGGAAAUGUAUACAAAGCAGAACUGUCAUCGGGUGACACUGUAGCCGUGAAGAAAGUCCAUCCAUUGCAUAGUGGUGAAAUGGCAGAUCAAAAGCAGUUCCUAAAUGAGGUAAGGGCAUUAAUUGAAAUCCGCCAUCGAAAUAUUGUGAAGUUCUACGGUUUUUGUUCCUUUGGAAAGCAUUCCUUCUUAGUUUAUAAGUACCUCGAAAGGGGUAGCCUGGCUUCUGUUCUAAGGAACGAUGAAGAAGCUAAAAAAUUGGACUGGGAUAAGAGGGUGAAUAUUGUAAAAGGUGUAGUUAACGCCCUCUCUUAUUUGCACCAUGACUGUUCACCACCGAUUGUUCAUCGAGAUAUAACGAGCAGCAAUGUUUUGCUUGAUUCGGAGUUUGAAGCUCAUGUUUCAGACUUUGGCACUGCUAAGCUUCUCAAUCCAGACUCAUCCAAUUGGACUAAUGUUGCUGGAACAUACGGAUAUAUUGCACCAGGUGAUUUCAUUAUAGCUUCAUAAAUGACAUAGCAUAUUUUUAAUUAGAGAGAUCAUGCAUCAAGUAAUGAGUCAAAUGCUUGAGUGUGUGAUUACUGUUGUUAUUUAACUAUUUAUCUUUUCCUUUGCAGAGCUUUCCUACACAAUGAAAGUGACUGAAAAAUGCGAUGCGUAUAGUUUUGGUGUGCUGGCGUUGGAAGUGAUGAUGGGGGCGUAUCCGGGUGAUUUUCUCUCCAAUCUAUCGCUUUUAUCUGCUGAAGUGCACCUUCCACUGAACAAUGUGUUGGACCAAAGGCUUUCGCCUCCACUGCCAGAAGUUGAGAACAAACUCGUAUCCAUCAUGAAGGUGGCUUUUUCAUGUUUAGAUAACAAUCCAGAAUCUAGACCGACCAUGUACACUGUUUCUCAGCUCUUUGCCGACCGAAUCUAGUUGGUGCUAGGAUCCUUGGAUCUACAUCUAAGAGGCCACCCUUUAGAAAUGUUUGGUAAUGAUUGAAUGUUGUUUGUUUAGUUUUGUGUACGAUCAGAGGUAAAAGGACUAGAAUUUUGGUACCCUGAUGUCAUAAACAUUUUGGUACUCCAAUGAGAGCAGUUUCAUACCCUUGUGUGUAACUGUUCAUCAUUAAUUCUAUUAUAGUAAUUGAAUACAGAAAAAAAUGGUGCCCACCAAGCUACUUGUUCUUAGUUACAUGUAAGAAUAUAUAUUUCGUUUUGAAAGUUAGGAGCUUCUAUUAAAUUGUCUGGUUUAUCUUUUCUUCAUAACUUAAUUCACAAAGAGAAGUCUAUGUAUAUCCCCCUAUUAGACAUUUAGCUAGGGAAGUGAAGCUGAACAUUCCAAGGCUUUGAAGGGAACAAAUUUAAAGAUGACUUUCUCAAGAGGCUAACAUCGCUAUGCAAUUCUGAAUUUUCGAACCACUAAUGAGCCCAAUACCAUAAUUACUGCAGAAUAUUUGUCCCUAUACCAUCUGAAUGUUAAAAAUUCAAUCUCUAUAUCAUAAAUUCAAUAAUUUUUUGUGGAAUUUCUCAUGUUAACCUGGAUCAUUUGGGAUACAAGAAAUGAAAUGUUGUGUGGGUGGAAACAAAGAAAUCCAGCUAAAGAGUAAAGGCUGUCGAAGUAAGGCCCCUGAAUGAAGCCAAAGGGCCACACGAGAUGGGCAUGGAUAUGUCUUGGUGGAAGCCUUAGGCCCAUGGGAAAUACUAUUAAUGGACUUCUUUUUCCCCUCCCCCAAAUUUAGAAAUGGACCCUUUAAAGGACUUGCUAUCGAAUUGUCUAAAGAUGAGCGCAAAGAGGGCAAAGCCACGUGAAAAUAUAUUUGGGAAAUUUAACAGAUGUUUAUAUCGAUGAGUCUGAAAUUGUUGAUGCCAGUAUUUGACAUUCAAACGCAUCAAUUAGAACGGAAUAUGGUGAUUGAAAAUGUCGAACACGACCCCUUCUUUCUUUUUCUUUUAAACAAAAAUUAAGCAAAUACAAAAUAUAUUACAAUUCAAUUAAGAGCAAUAAUUUACUUUAAAUAUGUUUCCAUGUUAUUCCUAAUUAACUCCAUUAUUAAACACAAUUUGCACAGGAAAUAGGAUAUAUAACAGUUUAGGUUUCCAUGGAUCAUAUAUCCAUGUUUGAAGUGAUCAUAUAUCAACUUUGCAGUUUAAUUUCCAAGCAAACAGUCCCUCCUUAUGGAACUUUUUUUUUUUUUUUGUACUUAAAGAUUGCUACCUAUCCAUGGAGGAUACAGGAUAGGUAGCCUUCAUUAUGGAACUUAUUUUCUAUAUUUCAUUUAAAAGUUUUAAUCUCAUUUUAGCUGUCAUUAUACUAUGUCAUAUGCUACAUCAGAAAUUGUAACUCACUUAUAUUUCUAGGAAUAAUUAAGUUUAAUUAGAUGCAAUCAAUAUUGUCUAUUUUCAGGUUCAAAUAAAGACAGAAUACUUCUCCAAUACAUGCAUGGCUAUUUACCACGCCAUCCAAUAUGCAUUAUGCAACUAUACAGACUGCAUUUCCAUAAAUAAUUAAACUCUGAAUUAAUUACGCUUCUUUUUUAUUCAAAGCUGUGAGUCAGUCUCCUUUGUGAAAUAAAGGUCAAACCAUACAGAUAUUAAUACGUUUUUAUUAGGACUUUUGACUUUCAAUCCAUCAGUGUAUCCACAGUACAAAUGUCGGUUUUGCUUUCCCGUUCCUUGUUUAUAAACUGAAAACUACAUAUGCUGGCACAAGCUGCUCAAUGAUUGGCUCUCCGUAGGAAAGAAAUCUACGGUCGGCUCGAAAUUUUUGGUCUUAAUUAAGUUGCCUUUUCAACUCGUUUUGGUUCAAUGACAAAUCCCAAGGCUUUUACAGAUAAAGCAAUUCAGAUGUAUGUGAAAUGUGUUCUGGUUCACUACCUAUCAGUUUAAGAUUGCAAAACAUGGUGGACAAGGAAAACUAGAUAUGCUGAUGUAGGAAAUAAAAUUAUAUGGAAAGUUUAGAACUUGGAAUUUGAUGAUAAUAUAAUAACAUUACAAAUAAAUGGUGAUGCAUAUCCCCCGGUGCUAUAGAUGGGUUAAUUAGGGUUGAGAAACAGAGGCAUUGGGUGCACACACACAAGAAUUUUCCUUACUGGCAUAAAUGACAUUUAAUAUAAGAUCUAGGAUGAGGGACAAAAAAAACCCUUUGAAUGGUAUCUAUUCUAGAAUUUAUAGAAAGGUCUAUUUUUAUGAAUAAAUUUCGUAUUAGAUAUGUUCGUGUUUGCAUCAUAUAUAUAAUAAGGUUUUCUAAAUUAAAUCAUGUUAGGUUUUGGACCAUGUUUUCGAGUCACAAAAUUAGAUAUUUGCCACCUUAGCAAGAAAGGAAAUUCUAAAUUCUUCACUGUUGAUUAAGAUUGUUUGAUUUGGUUUGCUUUUAAAUUGUUUUUUCUUGAAGUUAUAAUCUUUAAUUAUUUUGAAUUUUAUUUCUUAUACAAUAUAAAUCAUUAAAAAAUAUAAAAGGUAUAUUAUUAACUGUAAUAUGUAUUUUUUUCAUACAGGAUAUUAAUGAUCAAAAUUUUUGAAUUGAUGUAUUUUACAUUGUGUCUGUUAAAAGAAUAUUAAAUUAAAUAGAUUUUAGCAAAUCUGCAAAUGGGAAUGGACUUGUUUUCACGAAAUUAGUCAACUAUGAAAGCUACUCGCAACCACUUAAAUUUAAAGUCCAUUAACGUUAUUAAGUGCCUAAAAUCCAACAAUACUGUUGGAGUAUUUUGACCCCAAGCUUUCAAUAAGUACCUCUCCAUGCAGCUAUGUAUUCUUAUUCGUUUGAUUCCAUAACCCUUCUGAUGGCAUCCUCUGUUCAGAAACUAUUGCUUGUAAUCUAUUUCUUUGUCUUCCUUUCAAUUUAUCUUCUCUCCCCAACUUCUUCCUUAGCUGCUAUAGCUGGAGAUCAAGAAAUAGAGGCAGCGAAGGAAGCAAGGGCUCUUCUAAAAUGGAAAAGUAGUCUUGAUAACCAAAGCCAAUCUAUUCUGUCUUCAUGGAAUGGAAGCAAUCCUUGCAAUUGGGUUGGAAUUGCUUGUAACAAUGAUGGCAGCGUCACCAAUAUCAGCCUAGGAAAUUAUAGUUUAAAAGGUACACUUCAUUUUUUCAACUUCUGGUCUUUUCCCAACUUAGUUAGAUUGGAGCUUCGGAAAAACUUACUUUUUGGAACCAUUCCCUCAUAUAUUGGUAAUCUUUCCAAACUCUCCUUCCUUGAUUUGGCUUACAAUGGUCUUUCUGGAAGUAUUCCAUCAGAACAAAGCCUCUUUUCAAGUCUUGGCCACAUUUCCUUGGAUCAUAACAAUAUAAGUGGCACCAUCCCGCAAGAAAUAGGGAAGUUGAGAUCACUUUCUCAACUCAUUUUGCAUGAAAACAAACUCACAGGUAAUAUCCCUUCUUCUAUGGGGAAUUUGAGCAACUUGGUUAAUCUAUAUCUUGGUGACAAUGAACUCUCUGGCUCCAUACCUGAAGAAUUAGGGAUGCUAAGAUCUCUUGACUUGUUUGAUUUAGUAAGGAACCAUCUUACUGGUACCAUCCCUUCUUCCAUAUGUAACAUAACCAAGUUAUCAUUCCUUUACCUCUUUAGCAACGAACUUUCUGGUCCCAUUCCCGCAAAGUUAGGAAUGCUUAGAUCUGUCCAUCAGCUUCAACUGUGGAAUAAUAGUCUCACUGGUAAAAUUCCUGAUUCCAUAGGAAACUUAAGCAACAUGGACCGACUUCACCUUUUUAUGAACGAGCUUUCUGGUCCGAUUCCUUCAGGAAUAAACAUUACCCAUUUCAAAAGUUUUCAAUUAGCUGAGAAUGAAUUGACUGGAAAUUUACCUGAAAACAUAUGCCUUGGUGGAUUGCUUGAGAUACUCACUGUAGAAAACAACCAUUUUUCAGGUCCCAUACCAGAGACAUUGAAAAAUUACACCAGCUUAAUAAGAAUUAGGCUUGAACAAAAUCAGCUCAGUGGAGACAUAGCUGAAGGCACCUUUCAAAAAAAAAAAAAACAUAGCUGAAGGUUUUGGCACGUAUCCAAACUUGAAUUACAUUGAUUUAAGUUAUAACCAACUGUUUGGAGAGCUAUCUGACAACUGGGGACAAUGCCACAAUUUGACAAGCUCGAAAUCUUCCAAUAAUAACAUCUCUGGUCAAAUACCACCUAACCUUGGGGAAGCACGUUAGCUACAAAUACUUGAUCUCUCCUUAAAUCAUCUAACAGGGGAGAUUCCAACGCAACUUGGAAGGUUGAUAUCAUUGACCAUCCUUUUGCUUGAUGAUAACCUGUUGUCAAGUAGCAUUCCCCUGGAAAUUCAGAUGCUAUCUGAUAAGGCCUCGCAGCAAACGGUAUGAGUGCUUCAAUUCCCAGUCAACUAGGAAAGUGCUCGAAUCUAAUUUACUUGAAUUUAAGUAGGAACAAAUUUAAUGAAGAUAUCCCCUCUGAGAUUGGCAAAUUGCAAUUCCUCCAAAUUCUUGAUCUUACUCAUAACAUUUUGGCAGGAAAGCUACCGUCUCAGCUUGCACAACUGCAACGAUUGGAGACAUUAAAUCUUUCCCACAACAGAAUUUUUGGCUCUAUUCCAUCUACUUUUGACAACAUGUUGAGUUUGACAUCUGUUGAUAUAUCCUAUAAUCAGUUUGAAGGUCGUCUUCAAAAUUCUAAAGCCUUUAGCAAGGCUCCAUUUGAAUCAUUGAGAAAUAGCAAGGACUUGUGUGGAGAUUCCCUGAUUUGAACCCUUGCCCGUUGACAAGCCAAGAUCCCCGAGGAAGAAAGGGGAACAGAGUCCUAUUGAUCUUAGUUCUACUCUUUGGCUGUCUAGCUCUUUUAUUAAUCAUAGUUGGAAUACCGUUAUUUCUUGGAAAAGACUUAGGGACAAAGAAAAUGAAUCAAGAGAAGAGCAGAUCACAAUAUGGAGCUACGAUGGAAAACUGGAGCAUUCCGACAUCUUUAAAGCAACCGAAGGAUUUGACUCAAAAACAUUGUAUUGGAGUAGGAGGAUUUGGAAGUUUAUACAAAGCUGAGCUGAACAGGUCAAGUCCUUGCCAUUAAGAAACUUCACACACCACCAGAAGCUGGAAUGACCAUUCUAAAAGCUUUUACAAGUGAGGUUCAUGUGUUAACUGAGAUACGACAUCGCAACAUUGUGAAGCUUUAUGGUAUUUGUUGGCAUCCACAAUACUGUUUGUUGGCUUGUGAGUUCUUUGAAGAUGGGAGCUUGGCAAUGUUGCUAAGCAGUGAGGAAAAAGCAAUGAAGUUCGAUUGGAUCAAAAGGAUGAAUGUUAUAAAGUGUGUGUCAUAUGCCUUAUCCUACAUGCAUCAUGAUUGCUCCGUUCCGGUAGUCCACCGGGACAUAUCAAGCAAAAAUGGUCUCCUGGACUUGGAAUACGAGGCUCACAUCUCUGACUUUGGCACUGCCAGCCUUCUAAAACCUGACUCAUCCAACUGGACUUCUUUUGCUGGCACCUUGGGAUACUCAGCCCCAGGUCUUUAAAAUGUAUCAAUGUAGGAGCCUGCAUGAACCUGGAUAAUAAACAUGUAGCAUACAUCAAAUCUGGUCUAGUUGCUGUCAAAUACAACAAUGAACCUAUCAGACUUCUGUAAAUUGAACCAUCAGCUGCUGCAGAACCAUCCUUUUUACAAAGUUUAUCUCCAAAAGCCAAUGGAGUUGCUACAGCCUUACAAGUUGACAUAUUGAACUUCUUUAACGGAUCUUUGGCAUACUUAGUCUGAUGUAACCACACUUUCUCACCAGUUUGCAGAAUCUCCAUACCUAAGAAAUAAGUCAUUAAUCCCAGGUCUGUCAUUUCAAAAUCUUUCAUCAUCUGGCUUUUAAAAUCAAUCAAUGAAUCACCAUCAGAUCCAGUGAUUAGUAAGUCAUCUACAUAUACAGCAACAAUUAACUUUGCAGUACCAUCAGAUAUCUUCACAUUCAAAGUCGAUUCAUUUGUGCUUUUCAGUAGACCUUGACUGGAAAAAUAAGCAUCUAUCCUGUCAUACCAGGCCCUAGGUGCCUGUUUUAAACCGUAUAAUGCCUUAACCAGUUUACAAACCUUGUCCUCUGCCCCUGGUACAACAUACCCCUCAGGUUGCUCCACAAAAACAUCUUCAGACAGAUUACCAUUUAGAAAAGCAGACUUUACAUCUAAAUGAUAUAUCUUCCACCCAUCUUUGGCAGCUAAUGCAGCAAGCAUUCUGAUAGUGUCAUGUCUGGCAACCGGUGCAAAGGUUUUCAGAUAAUCAACUCCAUAAAUCUGAGCAUAUCCCUUAACAACCAAUCUGGCUUUGUUUUUGUUUAUCGAGCCAUCAGGAUUCAGUUUAGUUCUGAAUAUCCAUUUGACUCCUAUUGUCUUGUGAUCUGUUGGUCUAUCCACAAGUAACCAGGUAUUAUUUUUCUUUGUCAUGGAGAUUUCAGCAUUCAUAGCAUUUCUCCAGUUUUCAUCCACCACAGCUUCAGAAUAAGUGACAGGAUCAACAACAGCAAGAUUACAUCUGCUGUAUAUAUCCUUCAGUGUCCUUGUUCCUCUCACAGCCUUACUUUCAUCCUCAACAUCAGAAUCAUCACUAUCAACCAGUGGUUGAUGAUUUUCUACAUCAUGAAUACCAGAAACAGAUUCUACAAUCUUCUUAUCCCAAUUCCAGCAAUGACUUUCAUCGAAGACCACAUCCCUGCUUAAAACCACCUUGUUUGCAUCUAAAUCAUAUAACCUAUAACCCUUGGAUUUGUCACUAUAUCCAAUAUGCACAGCAGUAUAAGCUUUGACAUCAAAUUUAGACCUCUUUACAUCAGGAAUUCGAGCAUAGCACAUACAACCAAAGACUUUAAAGUGAGUGACAGAGGGCUUUUGUCCAUACCAGAUCUCAAAAGGAGUUUUAAACACCAAUGCCUUAAUGAUGCUUCUGUUCUGAAUGUAGUUCGCAGUGUUAACUGCCUCAGCCCAAAACUUCAUAGGAAGAUUACACUGUAGUAACAAACACCUUGCCAUAUCAGCAAUUGUUCUGUUCUUCUUUUCAGCCUUACCAUUCUGCUGUGGACUAUAAGCAACAGUUAACUGAUGGUGAAUCCCAGCUGUUGACAGAUGCUUCUCAAAUUCAUUUGAAGUGUAUUCAGCUCCAUUAUCAGUCCUUAGCACCUUGAUGUUUAGACUAGUAAAGUUCUCAGCCUGUGCUUUGAACUCAGAAAAACUCUUUAUAGCUUCUGACUUAUUUUUCAAGAAGUAAAUCCAACAGUAACUAGAGAAAUCAUCAAUAAAUAGGAUAUAAUACCUACUUCCACUCAAUGAGAGAUUCUUCAUAGGACCACUCAGGUCAAUAUGAACUAGCUCCAACUUUUUUGUGGCUCUCCAACUACUCUCCUUAGGAAAAGGUUUCCUGGUCUGCUUUCCAAGCUAACAAACAUCACACAACUUCUCUGGUUUAACAAUGUUAGGCAGACCUAUUACAAGUUCUUUUGAAUUCAUUGUUGACAGUGAAUUAUAAUUCACAUGACCAACACGUUUAUGCCACAAUUCAGAUGAAUCUUUCUCAACAUAGAGAGCUAUCUGCUUAGUUUCAGACAACUUCAUAGGAUAACAUUUAUUCUUCAUGCUCACUGUUAACAAUUCAACACCAGCAGGAUCGAAUAUAGUGCAAUGCCUAUCUUUAAACAAUAAUGCAUAACCAUUGUCAUCUAAUUGACCUACACUAAGUAGGUUCUGAUCAGCUUCAGGCACAUAAUGCACAUCAUGCACAAACUUCAUUCCAGAUGCAGUUUUCACUCCUAUGGUGCCUACUCCAAGAAUCUUCAUGUAGAAACCAUUACCUAUUUUCACACGAGCCUUAUAGCUUUUAUCAAGCUCAGUAAAGAGAUUAACAUUACCUGUCAAAUGAUUUGAGCAGCCACUGUCAAUCAGCCAAAUGCUCUUCUCAGCAAUCUCAUCAUCUGCCUUAGCCAUAAACAAUACCUCCUCAGAUUCUUCUUUUUCUUCAGCCACUGCAGCCUUGCCCUUAACUUCUUGUUUCUUGGCUUUGCAUACCUUCUCCACAUGUCCAAGUUGCUGGCAAGAUCGACACCUCACAUGAGGUCUAUACCAACAAUACUUUGGAGUAUGAUUGGUCUUUUUACAGUGAGUACAGGGAGGAAAUUUGUCAUGAUUCUUCCCUUGUUUUGCAGAUCCAGCAUUAGUGCCUUUAGCACUGUUCUUCUUAGAGCUUUCAGAUUUAGCUCUCAAACCCUUAGUUUUAGCUACUAAGGCAUUCUCAAUAGAGUCUUCAUCCUUGAGAGCUUUUCUCUACUCAAAAGCCAAUAGAGUAGAGAUCAACUCCUUCACUGAGAUCUUAGUCAGAUCUUUUGAAUCCUCCAGUGAAGUCACCUUUGAUUCAAACUUGUCUAACAUACUCACUAAUAUUUUGUUGACCAUCCUCUAAUCAGUAACUUCUUGUCCCAGCAUUCUGAGCUGAUUCACCAGCUUCAACAUCUUAUCCGUAUACUCUUGAAUACCCUCAUCUUCCUUCAUCUUUAUUACCUCAAAUUGUCUCAACAAAUUCAUAAUCUGCAGCACCUUUGAUCUGUCAUUGCCUUGAUAUUCUUCUCUUAUGCUCUCCCAAACUUGCUUAGGAUCCUCCAGAUGCAUAAUCUUACCAAAGAUCGACUCUGACACAGCUGCUUGCAGGCUAAUCAAAGCCUUGUAUCUCUUUGCAACUUCCUCCGAGUGUUGCUUAAUCUGGGCUAGAGUCGAAUUAGCAUGGCUUUGAACAAGCAUCUCACUAGAUUCCACCACAUCCCACAGAUCGAAUGCCUUGAGAUAUGAUCUCAUCUUCACUGCCCAUAAAGGAUAAUUAACACCAGUAAACAUAGGAGGUGCGGCUACACUAAAUCCAGUUGUAGACAUUU
rnacentral:lncRNA from 1 species